rnacentral:lncRNA from 1 species
CAUGCUCUGAGCAUCUUCAACAGGAGGCCUAGUUAUCAUUGCUAGUAAAUGCCGUGUGCCUGUGACCCAAAUUCCAUUAACCCACUCUUUUGCUGCAUAUUUGCAAGAGAUAAGGGCUAAAUCCUUUUAUGGCCCUACAAAGUUGAAAAACCAUCCCGUGUGCCUGUGACAUGUGGGUCACUCUAUGUCAAUGACUUGUGGGCCUAGGAGCAUUCAAGGAGUGUUUUGCUUGACCUGUGAUAUUAGAUGAUAGUAUCAUAGUCGUAUUGUUUCUUGAUCUUGCCAAAUAGUAUGACAUAACUUUUGUUGCUUCCUUGCUAACAUACGCUACCCUCCUUGCUAACAUACGCUACCCUCCUUGCUAACAUACGCUACCAAUCGGGCGUCUUUGUUGGCACGUUUCUGGAUCUCUGAAUGCUACACAACAAGCACAUUAUUGUGGCCUGUUUCUUUUCAACUGUUUGCCUGUAGUUGUCUUGGUAUACAAUCAGUCGGCACAUGUUGACACAGUUGCAUCCUUCAUGCUACAGUUGUAGCCACUAUUUUAUGAGCCAUUGCCAAGAACAACACUUGCUAGGCAAGUAUUCUAAGAAAGAGUGGCAUUCGGUUAGUCACCUACAUUUUUUUUUCAGUUAGUGUUAUGGAAAUAUGCAAUGGAGGUAACUACCGUUUAGCUGGUCCAGUAAGUAUUGCCCUACUUUUAAUCUUUCCAUCUGGGAACAGCCAGAUUUAUAUUUGGUGUCUUUAUUAGCUUAACCCGGUGAAGAUUCAGAGGAGUUGCUUUGUGUUUUUUUUAUGGGGAGUCGCUUUGUAGUAUUAUCAGAGGAAAAAAAGAUGUUUUUCCUUUAUUAUAGUGAGGAAGUACUCCAUCCGUCCUAUCUUAUGUUAUGGGACGGAGGGAGUAGAUGAUAAGUGUGUAUGUAUAUAGUACCUAAAUAUAAGAUGUUUUGGUAGGACCCGUCAUGGGAUUUUCUUGCCUGUUUCGGCAGCCUGUAGCUUGUAUCUUGUACAUUAUCGUCGACUUAGGAUGAUUGGUGGCUGGAGAUCGUAAAGGAAGUCUAGCCUCGAGUUUGCGUCCCAGUCACGAUCACGGGAUACAAUUCUUGGCUCUGAGAUCCCAAGCGAUAACAUAUACUGUAUAUACUACAAACACUGGUCCUUUCUGUUCUGGAUUCUUUUCCCUGUCAGCAAAAUUAUUUGCUCUUUGUUCCAAAAAUCGCAGGCCCAAAGCCAAUUAAGCGGGCCCUACAUAUUGCUUGGACUGGCUUGACUGAACUCCUCUCCAUCCAGAUUGGUGCAGAUGGCAUCUCCCGUGCAUUAUGGAACCUCCCACUCGUGGUCUCGCAGCUUAAAUUUCAGACCCGCGUGGCCUGCGUGGUCAUCGCUGGUGCUUCAAUGCUCUCCGUGCAGGCAGCUCACAUGGGGCGAGUGGACCAAAAUGUGAUCGUUUGUUGAUUGAUUAACAGUUGUGCAGAUCCAGGAUAUAAUAUGUUCAUGCAUCUAGCCAGAUCAUCCGUGUACUUGCGCCAAUCAGCUAUGUAUUUGAAUAAGUGCAACGCGAGUCAUGCAUUGAGGUUAACUACUAUACUUAGUAAUACUAUACGGUGAAGUAAUAUUAUGACUUACCUUGUCCAGGAUGGCCACGAUUCGAUACAUCCGUGUCUACACAAAUCUAAACAACCUAAUUUGAGGCUGAGGUAAUAAUAUCCGAAGUAACCCAGUGCCUAGUGAGUAGUGACAUGAUCUUUGCAUUGGCCGGUCGAUAAGUGUUGAAAAUUGUUUUGAAUCGAAAGUGAUUGAAUACUUGAUCGAUGGUUACAGGCCCCCUUUUAUACGAUCCGAAGAGACACGACGAUCCCUCGAGGGGGCGUCGGUUCUAGGAGAUCGAAGGGAGGCAUCGGUUGCGGGACAAACCGCAACGAUGGUUUGGGCAAGGGGAGAUUUUCCCCUAAUUACAGAAUUAUUUUUAACACUCCCCCUAAUCUACGCUUGACCAUGUAGAUCAUCUUCACGAUUGUCCGGAAAGCUCUAUCAUCUCAAAAAUUUCUCCUUCAAAAGUUCUUCAUAAUUUUUUUUGAUAAGAUCCUGAAACAUAUACUCACAAAGAAAGAUAGCAUAAUGUGAUGUCAUUAAAAUGAGGAUAUCUCAAGAAGAGACUCCCCCUGACACCUGCAAGUCCCUAAGUCUUCGCAUACCAAUUCCAUGAACACAUUUCUGGAAUGUAGAAUUUGGUAGAGACUUGGUAAAUAAAUCAGCAAGGUUGUCGCAUGAUUUGACUUGCAGAAUGCUUAUUUCCCCGCUUUUCUGAAGAUUAUGAGGGAAAAACCAUUUAGGAGAAAUAUGCUUGGUGAUAUUACUCUUGAUGUAUCCUGUUUGCAUCUGCGCAACACAGGCCGCAUUAUCUUCAUAGAUAAUGGUAGGUGAUUUUAUCGAACCCAUUCCACAUGACUGUUGUAUGUGGUUUAUCAUUCUGCGAAGCCAUACACAUUCGCAUGGUGCUUCAAAUAAUGAAAUUAUUUCAGAAUGAUUGGUAGAUGUUGCCACCAGAGUCUGUUUCGAAGACUUCCAUGAUAUAGCAGUGCCACCAUGUAGGAACACGAAGCCGGUCUGAGAUCUGUCAUUAUGGGGAUCAAACAAAUAGCCGGCAUCUGCAUAUCCAAUCACAUCAGAGUCCUGAUUUUCCAGGAACUGGAAAAAUAGGUCAAGAUCCUUUGUGCCUUGGAGAUAUCGAAAGAUAUUCUUCACUCCAGACCAAUGACGUUUGGUGGGAGCUGCGCUAUGUCUAGCAAGUAGAUUCACUGCAAAUGCAAUAUCAGGUCUUGUGCAAUUUGCAAGAUAUAUAAGCGCUCCAAUAGUACUAAGGUAUGGAACUUCAGGUCCCAACACCUCUUCUCCAUCAUCCUUUGGUCUUAACGGAUUUUUCUCUACGUCUAGAGAUCGAACCACCAUGGGAGUUUUAGAUGGAUAUGAUUUGUCCAUAUUGAAUUUCUCCAAUAUUUUCUGGAUAUAGGCAGAUUGGUGUACCAUGAUUCCUGAGAGAAGAUGCUCAAGUUGAAUACCUAACCAAAAUUUGGUUUUACCCAAAUCCUUCAUCUCAAAUUCCAUCUUUAGACGAUUGCGUGCUUCAUCAAUGUCUGGUGUGCUGCCGAUGAUGUUGAGAUCAUCAACAUACACAGAAAUGAUGCAAAAUCCUGUAGAGGACUUCUUGAUGAAGACACAUGGGCAAUCAACACUAUUGGAGUAACCUUUCCAAAGAAGGAACUCACUGAGUCGGUUGUACCACAUCCGUCCCGACUGCCUUAAGCCAUAUAGUGACUUAUUCAGCUUUACACAAUACAUGUUGCGUUUUGCAUUUUUAUUCGGGACAGAGAUUCCAUCAGGAACCUUCAUAUAUAUGUCCGAAUCUAGUGACCCGUAAAGAUAUGCGGUCACGACGUCCAUCAACUGGAUAGAUAGAUGAUUUUGCACUGCCAAAGAUAUAAGAUAUCGGAAAGUGGUUGCACUCAUUACUGGAGAAUAUAUUUCAGUGAAAUCAAUGUCGGGUUUCUACGUGAAACCUUGUGCUACGAGCCUUGCUUUAUAUCUCACCACCUCAUUGUUCUCAUUCCGUUUCCGGAGAAAAACCCAUUUGAAUCCCAUAGGGAAAACACUGGGAGGUGUAGGUAUUGCUUUAGUGAAUACCUUUCUUUUGUUAAGCGAGGCAAUUUCAGCUUGGAUUGCAUCCUUCCAUUUAGGCCAGUCGGAGCGCUUUUGGCACUCAACGAUAGACCUUGGAUCAUGAUCAGUGAGAAGGGUAUCUGCAAUCUUUUCAGCAAAAUAUAUGUCGACAGUCGUAGUCUUAUGAUCAAAUGAUUCUCCAGAAUCAACAUAGUUGAUGGAAAUUUCCUGCACCCCUAGUGACUCUUCGUGAUUUCCCAAUACGAUCGAGUCUGGGUGUUCCAAUGUCCCAGUCAGUUUGUGCACACUAAAACUGGGUUGUGGAGGUUGCCCUUCCACUAGGUGUAUACUACCCAUCAGGUGUUUGUCAACGUUGAGUUGUCCUGCAUUUACUGACUCCGAGGUUUUUCUCCUCGAUUUCCUUUGCUGCUUGCUAGAAGCAUGCUCCGGGUCAAAGGCCGUACUACUCCCCCUCUUUUUAAGAAUAGAGAGUUGAGUGGUUUUUAUUGGUACCUCCACUCUUUCUGGCGCGUUUCUGGCCGGGUUUAAGGAUUUUGUAACACCUUUCAAACCAGUAAAUGAAUCUGGCAGAUUAUUUGCAAGAUGUUGCAAAUUAAUGAUCUUCCGAACUUGAAGUUCGGUCUCUUGGGUACGUGGAUCAGAGGAUGAAAUGGCAUGAGCAUUCCAAUCAAUUUCCGGGCAUUCUUUCUGGUACUUGAAAUCUCCCCCUAAUGCCGGAAAAUGUUCCUCAUUAAAUAUGCAAUCAGCGUGACGAGUUGUGAACAGAUCCCCAGUCAGGGGUUCCAGGUACUUGAUAAUCGACGGUGAUUUGUACCCCACAUAGAUCCCCAACUUCCUGUGUGGGCCCAUAGAUGUUCGCUGUGGUGGUGAGAUCGGGAUGUAUGUAGCACAUCCGAACUUACGCAGAUGGGAAAUGCUUGGAGGAUUUCCACGUACCAAUUCCAGAGGGGAAGAACUGUGAUAUUGCAGUUGGCCUCAAUUGUAUCAAGUCAGCAGCGUGUAAAACAGCGUGACCCCAACAAGAGGUUGGCAAGUUGCAAUUCAUCAACAAAGGUCUUGCAAUGAGUUUGAUCCUCUUAAUCAAUGCUUCAGUCAAACCAUUUUUUGUAUGGACAUAUGGAACAUAGUGCUGAACUUCAAUCCCCAAAGCCAUGCAAUAAUCACUGAAAGCACGUGAGGAGAAUUCUGCAGCAUUGUCCAUCCGAAUUGAUUUAAUUCGACUUUUAGGAUAAUGGGCUUGCAACUUAAUGACUUGCCUCAUUAUCUUGGCAAAUGCAUAGUUUCGUGUGGAUAGAAGACACACAUGUGACCAUCGUGUAGAUGCGUCAAUCAGAACCAUGAAAUACCGGAAAGGUCCAGAUAAUGGCUGAAUGGGACCACAAAUGUCUCCUUGAAUACGUUCAAGGAACUGAAGUGGUUCAGCUUGUAUUUUGAGGUGUGAGGGCCUCAAAAUUAGCUUUCCCGUGGCACAAGAUGUGCACACAAAAUCAGAAGAUUGAGGAAAUUUUGACUCAAGCAAAUUAUGACCAAUGGAAUUGCUAGUAAUUUUUCUCAUCAUCCCUAUUCCAGGAUGGCCUAAACGAUCAUGCCAGGUUUGGAAUGCGUUAACAUUCUGAAAAAUUACUUUGUAUGCAACAUGUUCCACGGGUUUGAUGUACGUAUAGUACAAACCAGACAAUAGAGAAGGAAUUUUCUCAUGUAGCUUUUUGCCAUAUCUGUCAUCUUUAGUAAAAAGUAGAUACUCCUCUUUGUUGUCUUCAUGGGUUUCAAUAUGAAAACCAUUUUUACGGAUAUCUCGAUAACUGAUCAGGGUACGUGCAGAAUCGGGAUACAGUAAAGCAUCCUCAAUUGUCACAUAUGUACCACUUGGGAGGGUGAAUAUGGCACGUCUAGUACCAACAAUCACAGUAUCGCGUCCAACGAUAGUUAGAAUAUCUUCAUUUGUCUUUUUCAGAGUUUGGAAAUAUUUCAUCUCCCUCAGUAUGGAGUUUGUGGCACCACUGUCCACAAGGCAUAAUUCCUCUUCCAUCGGAUUGUCCCCGUAAAAAACUAUAUAAAACAAAGAAUUUUCAAUAAGAAAACCUCAUAGUAAUAUAUAGAAUACAAUCUUUAUUAUAUCAAAUGUGCUGAUACAAUACAAUAUAAAGACAACAACAAACUUAUGUUCUUAUUACAAUCAUCACAAAUGGACAUAAUUAAGUAGAUCACUAAGGAGAUUGAGGGACUAGUCGAAGUCGCCAAACACGUUGUUUGUAGUGUACUCAAUCAACGUGUUCUCCAUUUCAGCAGUAGCCUCAGGCAGAUAAGGAACCACGACAUUGCUUGGUCCAGGAGGAACAUCGUGCGAACCACCAACUCCUUUUACGCUAUCCGGAUGAAGGUUGAAGUUGGCUUCAAACCUUUUCCCUUGAGGUGCUUUGCGUCCCUGAGAUUGCUGGUGUUGGGUUUCGUAGUAAUUUCAAAAAAUUUCCUACGCACACGCAAGAUCAUGUGAUGCAUAGCAACGAGGGGAAGAGUAUUGUCUACGUACCCAACGCAGACCGACUGCGGAAGCGAUGACACGACGUAGAGGAAGUAGUGUACGUCUUCACGAUCCAACCGAUCAAGCACCGAAACUACGGCACCUCCGAGUUCGAGCACACGUUCAGCUCGAUGACGAUCCCCGGACUCCGAUCCAGCAAAGUGUCGGGGAAGAGUUCCGUCAGCACGACGGCGUGGUGACGAUCUUGAUGAACUACAGCAGCAGGGCUUCGCCUAAACUCCGCUACAGUAUUAUCGAGGAAUAUGGUGGCAGGGGGCACCGCACACGGCUAAGGAAUCGAUCACGUGGAUCAACUUGUGUCAACUUGUGUGUUUUGGGGUGCCUCUACCUCAGUAUAUAAAGGAGCCAAGGGGGGGAGGAGGCGCCGGCCAAGGAGGGAGGCGCAGGAGGAGUCCUACUCCUACCGGGAGUAGGACUCCCCUCCAAUCCUAUUCCUAUUAGGAUUCCCCGGAGGGGGAAAAGAGGAGGAGGGGGCCGGCCACCUCUCCUAGUCCUAAUAGGACUAGGGGAGGGGGAGGCGCGCAGCCCAUCCAGGGCAGCCCCUUCUCUUUUCCACUAAGGCCCACUAUGGCCCAUAUAGCUCCCGGGGGGUUCCGGUAACCCUCUCGGUAUUCCGGUAAAAUCCCGAUUUCACCCGGAACACUUCCGAUAUCCAAAUAUAGGCUUCCAAUAUAUCAAUCUUUAUGUCUCGACCAUUUCGAGACUCCUCGUCAUGUCCGUGAUCACAUCCGGGACUCCGAACAACCUUCGGUACAUCAAAAUGCAUAAACUCAUAAUAUAACUGUCAUCGUAACCUUAAGCGUGCGGACCCUACGGGUUCGAGAACAAUGUAGACAUGACCGAGACACGUCUCCGGUCAAUAACCAAUAGCGGGACCUGGAUGCCCAUAUUGGCUCCUACAUAUUCUACGAAGAUCUUUAUCGGUCAGACCGCAUAACAACAUACGUUGUUCCCUUUGUCAUUGGUAUGUUACUUGCCCGAGAUUCGAUCGUCGGUAUCCAAUACCUAGUUCAAUCUCGUUACCGGCAAGUCUCUUUACUCGUUAAUACAUCAUCUCACAACUAACAUAUUAGUUGUAAUGCUUGCAAGGCUUAUGUGAUGUGUAUUACCGAGAGGGCCCAGAGAUACCUCUCCGACAAUCGGAGUGACAAAUCCUAAUCUCGAAAUACGCCAACCCAACAUCGACCAUUGGAGACACCUGUAGUACUCCUUUAUAAUCACCCAGUUACGUUGUGACGUUUGGUAGUACCCAAAGUGUUCCUCCGGUAAACGGGAGUUGCAUAAUCUCAUAGUCAUAGGAACAUGUAUAAGUCAUGAAGAAAGCAAUAGCAACAUACUAAACGAUCGGGUGCUAAGCUAAUGGAAUGGGUCAUGUCAAUCAGAUCAUUCUACUAAUGAUGUGACCUCGUUAAUCAAAUAACAACUCAUUGUUCAUGGUUAGGAAACAUAACCAUCUUUGAUUAACGAGCUAGUCAAGUAGAGGCAUACUAGUGACACUAUGUUUGUCUAUGUAUUCACACAUGUAUUAUGUUUCCGGUAAAUACAAUUCUAGCAUGAAUAAUAAACAUUUAUCAUGAUUAUAAGGAAAUAAAUAAUAACUUUAUUAUUGCCUCUAGGGCAUAUUUCCUUCAGUCUCCCACUUGCACUAGAGUCAAUAAUCUAGAUUACACUGUAAUGAUUCUAACACCCAUGGAGCCUUGGUGCUGAUCAUGUUUUGCUCGUGGAAGAGGCUUAGUCAACGGGUCUGCAACAUUCAGAUCCGUAUGUAUCUUGCAAAUCUCUAUGUCUCCGACCUGGACUAGAUCCCGGAUGGAGUUGAAGCGUCUCUUGAUGUGUUUGGUCCUUUUGUGAAAUCUGGAUUCCUUUGCUAAGGCAAUUGCACCAGUAUUGUCACAAAAGAUUUUCAUUGGACCCGAUGCACUAGGUAUGACACCUAGAUCGGAUAUGAACUCCUUCAUCCAGACUCCUUCAUUUGCUGCUUCCGAAGCAGCUAUGUAUUCCGCUUCACAUGUAGAUCCCGCUACGACGCUUUGUUUAGAACUGCACCAACUGACAGCUCCACCGUUUAAUGUAAACACGUAUCCGGUUUGCGAUUUAGAAUCGUCCGGAUCAGUGUCAAAGCUUGCAUCAACGUAACCUUUUACGAUGAGCUCUUUGUCACCUCCAUAUACGAGAAACAUAUCCUUAGUCCUUUUCAGGUAUUUCAGGAUGUUCUUGACCGCUGUCCAGUGAUCCACUCCUGGAUUACUUUGGUACCUCCCUGCUAAACUUAUAGCAAGGCAUACAUCAGGUCUGGUACACAGCAUUGCAUACAUGAUAGAUCCUAUGGCUGAUGCAUAGGGAACAUCUUUCAUAUUCUCUCUAUCUUCUGCAAUGGUCGGGCAUUGAGUCUUACUCAAUUUCACACCUUGUAACACAGGCAAGAACCCUUUCUUUGCUUGAUCCAUUUUGAACUUCUUCAAAAUUUUGUCAAGGUAUGUGCUUUGUGAAAGUCCAAUUAAGCGUUUUGAUCUAUCUCUAUAGAUCUUAAUGCCUAAUAUGUAAGCAGCUUCACCGAGGUCUUUCAUUGAAAAACUUUUAUUCAAGUAUCCCUUUAUGCUAUCCAGAAAUUCUAUAUCAUUUCCAAUCAGUAAUAUGUCAUCCACAUAUAAUAUCAGAAAUGCUACAGAGCUCCCACUCACUUUCUUGUAAAUACAGGCUUCUCCGAAAGUCUGUAUAAAGCCAAAUGCUUUGAUCACACUAUCAAAACGUUUAUUCCAACUCCGAGAGGCUUGCACCAGUCCAUAAAUGGAUCGCUGGAGCUUGCACACUUUGUUAACUUCCUUUGGAUCGACAAAACCUUCCGGUUGCAUCAUAUACAACUCUUCUUCCAGAAAUCCAUUCAGGAAUGCAGUUUUGACAUCCAUCUGCCAAAUUUCAUAAUCAUAAAAUGCGGCAAUCGCUAACAUGAUUCGGACGGACUUAAGCAUCGCUACGGGUGAGAAGGUCUCAUCGUAGUCAAUCCCUUGAACUUGCCGAAAACCUUUUGCGACAAGUCGAGCUUUGUAGACAGUAACAUUACCAUCAGCGUCAGUCUUCUUCUUAAAGAUCCAUUUAUUCUCAAUUGCUUGCCGAUCAUCGGGCAAGUCAACCAAAGUCCAUACUUUGUUCUCAUACAUGGAUCCCAUCUCAGAUUUCAUGGCUUCAAGCCACUUUGCGGAAUCUGGGCUCACCAUCGCUUCUUCAUAGUUCGUAGGUUCAUCAUGAUCUAGUAGCAUGACUUCCAGAACAGGAUUUCCGUACCACUCUGGCGCGGAUCUUAUUCUGGUUGAUCUACGUGGUUCAGUAGUAUCUUGAUCUGAAGUUUCAUGAUCAUUAUCAUUGGCUUCCUCACUAACCGGUGUAGGUGUCACUGAAACAGUUUUCUAUGAUGAACUACUCUCCAGUAAGGGAGCAGGUACAGUUACCUCGUCAAGUUCCACUUUCCUCCCACUCACUUCUUUUGAGAGAAACUCCUUCUCUAGAAAUGAUCCAUUCUUAGCAACGAAUGUUUUGCCUUCGGAUCUGUGAUAGAAGGUGUACCCAACAGUUUCCUUUGGGUAUCCUAUGAAGACACAUUUCUCCGAUUUGGGUUCGAGCUUAUCAGGUUGAAGCUUUUUCACAUAAGCAUCGCAACCCCAAACUUUAAGAAACGACAACUUUGGUUUCUUGCCAAACCAUAGUUCAUAAGGCGUCGUCUCAACGGAUUUUGAUGGUGCCCUAUUUAAUGUGAAUGCGGCCGUCUCUAAAGCAUAACCCCAAAAUGAUAGCGGUAAAUCUGUAAGAGACAUCAUAGAUCGCACCAUAUCUAGUAAAGUACGAUUACGACGUUCGGACACACCAUUGCGCUGUGGUGUUCCGGGUGGCGUGAGUUGUGAAACUAUUCCACAGUUUUUCAAAUGUACACCAAACUCGUAACUCAAAUAUUCUCCUCCACGAUCAGAUCGUAGAAACUUUAUUUUCUUGUUAUGAUGAUUUUCAACUUCACUCUGAAAUUCUUUGAACUUUUCAAAUGUUUCAGACUUAUGCUUCAUUAAGUAGAUAUAUCCAUAUCUGCUCAAAUCAUCUAUGAAGGUGAGAAAAUAACGAUAUCCGCCACGAGCCUCAAUAUUCAUCGGACCACAUACAUCGGUAUGUAUGAUUUCCAACAAAUCUGUUGCUCUCUCCAUAGUACCGGAGAACGGUGUUUUAGUCAUCUUGCCCAUGAGGCACGGUUCGCAAGUACCAAGUGAUUCAUAAUCAAGUGGUUCCAAAAGUCCAUUAGUAUGGAGUUUCUUCAUGCGUUUUACACCGAUAUGACCUAAACGACAGUGCCACAAAUAAGUUGCACUUUCAUUAUCAACUCUGCAUCUUUUGGUUUCAACAUUAUGAAUAUGUGUAUUACUACUAUCGAGAUUCAAUAAGAAUAGACCACUCUUCAAGGGUGCAUGACCAUAAAAGAUAUUACUCAUAUAAAUAGAACAACCAUUAUUCUCUGAUUUAAAUGAAUAACCGUCUCGCAUUAAACAAGAUCCAGAUAUAAUGUUCAUGCUCAACGCUAGCACCAAAUAACAAUUAUUUAGGUCUAAUAUUAAUCCCGAAGGUAGAUGUAGAGGUAGCGUGCCGACCGCGAUCACAUCGACUUUGGAACCGUUUCCCACACGCAUCGUCACCUCGUCCUUUGCUAGUGCCCGCUUAUUCUGUAGUCCCUGUUUCGAGUUGCAAAUAUUAGCAACAGAACCAGUAUCAAAUACCCAGGUGCUACUGCGAGCUCUAGUAAGGUACACAUCAAUAACAUGUAUAUCAUAUAUACCUUUGUUCACCUUGCCAUCCUUCUUAUCCGCCAAAUACUUGGGGCAGUUCCGCUUCCAGUGACCAGUCUGCUUGCAGUAGAAGCACUCAGUUUCAGGCUUAGGUCCAGACUUGGGUUUCUUCUCUUGAACAGAAACUUGCUUGCCGUUCUUCUUGAAGUUCCCCUUCUUCUUCCCUUUGCCCUUUUUCUUGAAACUAGUGGUCUUGUUAACCAUCAACACUUGAUGCUCCUUCUUGAUUUCUACCUCCGCAGCUUUCAGCAUUGCGAAGAGCUCGGGAAUAGUCUUGUUCAUCCCUUGCAUAUUAUAGUUCAUCACGAAGCUCUUGUAGCUUGGUGGCAGUGAUUGGAGAAUUCUAUCAAUGACGCAAUCAUCCGAAAGAUUAACUCCCAAUUGAAUCAAGUGAUUAUUAUACCCAGACAUUUUGAGUAUAUGCUCACUGACAGAACUGUUCUCCUCCAUCUUGCAGCUAUAGAACUUAUUGGAGACUUCAUAUCUCUCAAUUCGGGCAUUUGCUUGAAAUAUUAACUUCAACUCCUGGAACAUCUCAUAUGCUCCAUGACGUUCAAAACGUCGUUGAAGUCCCGAUUCUAAGCCGUAAAGCAUGGCACACUGAACUAUUGAGUAGUCAUCAGCUUUGCUCUGCCAGACGUUCAUAACAUCUGACGUUGCUCCAGCAGCAGGCCUGGCACCCAGCGGUGCUUCCAGGACGUAAUUCUUUUGUGCAGCAAUGAGGAUAAUCCUCAAGUUACGGACCCAGUCCGUGUAAUUGCUACCAUCAUCUUUCAACUUUGCUUUCUCAAGGAACGCAUUAAAAUUUAACGGAACAACAGCACGAGCCAUCUAUCUACAAUCAACAUAAACAAGCAAGAUACUAUCAGGGACUAAGUUCAUGAUAAAUUUUAAGUUCAAUUAAUCAUAUUACUAAAGAACUCCCACUUAGAUAGGCAUCCCUCUAAUCCUCUAAGUGAUCACGUGAUCCAAAUCAACUAAACCAUAACCGAUCAUCACGUGAGAUGGAGUAGUUUUCAAUGGUGAACAUCGUUAUGUUGAUCAUAUCUACUAUAUGAUUCACGCUCGACCUUUCGGUCUCCGUGUUCCGAGGCCAUAUCUGCAUAUGCUAGGCUCGUCAAGUUUAACCUGAGUAUUCUGCGUGUGCAAAACUGGCUUGCACCCGUUGUAGAUGGACGCAGAGCUUAUCACACCCGAUCAUCACGUGGUGUCUGGGCACGAUGAACUUUGGCAACGGUGCAUACUCAGGGAGAACACUUCUUGAUAAUUUAGUGAGAGAUCAUCUUAUAAUGCUACCGUCAAUCAAAGCAAGAUAAGAUGCAUAAAAAGAUAAACAUCACAUGCAAUCAAUAUAAGUGAUAUGAUAUGGCCAUCAUCAUCUUGUGCUUGUGAUCUUCAUCUCCGAAGCACCGUCAUGAUCACCAUCGUCACCAGCGCGACACCUUGAUCUCCAUCGUAGCAUCGUUGUCGUCUCGCCAAUCUUAUGCUUCCACGACUAUCACUACCGUUUAGUAAUAAAGUAAAGCAUUACAUCGCGAUUGCAUUGCAUACAAUAAAGCGACAACCAUAUGGCUCCUGCCAGUUGCCGAUAACUUGGUUACAAAACAUGAUCAUCUCAUACAAUAAAAUUCAGCAUCAUGCCUUGACCAUAUCACAUCACAACAUGCCCUGCAAAAACAAGUUAGACGUCCUCUACUUUGUUGUUGCAUGUUUUUACGUGGCUGCUACGGGCUUAAGUAAGAACCAAUCUCACCUACGCAUCAAAACCACAACGAUAGUUUGUCAAAUAGACUCCGUUUUAACCUUCGCAAGGACCGGGCGUAGCCAUACUUGGUUCAACUAAAGUUGGAGAGGCAGUCGCCCGCAAGCCAUCUCUGUGCAAAGCACGUCGAGGGAACCGGUCUCGCGUAAGCGUACGCGUAAGGUUGGUCCAGGUCGUCUCGUCCAACAAUACCGCCGAACCAAAGUAUGACAUGCUGGUAGGCAGUAUGACUUGUAUCGUCCACAACUCACUUGUGUUCUACUCGUGCAUAUAACAUCAACAUCAAUAACCUAGGCUCUGAUACCACUGUUGGGUUUCGUAGUAAUUUCAAAAAAUUUCCUACGCACACGCAAGAUCAUGUGAUGCAUAGCAACGAGGGGAAGAGUAUUGUCUACGUACCCAACGCAGACCGACUGCGGAAGCGAUGACACGACGUAGAGGAAGUAGUCGUACGUCUUCACGAUCCAAUCGAUCAAGCACCGAAACUACGGCACCUCCGAGUUCGAGCACACGUUCAGCUCGAUGACGAUCCCCGGACUCCGAUCCAGCAAAGUGUCGGGGAAGAGUUCCGUCAGCACGACGGCGUGGUGACGAUCUUGAUGAACUACAGCAGCAGGGCUUCGCCUAAACUCCGCUACAGUAUUAUCGAGGAAUAUGGUGGCAGGGGGCACCGCACACGGCUAAGGAAUCGAUCACGUGGAUCAACUUGUGUCAACUUGUGUGUUUUGGGGUGCCUCUACCUCAGUAUAUAAAGGAGCCAAGGGGGGAGGAGGCGCCGGCCAAGGAGGAAGGCGCAGGAGGAGUCCUACUCCUACCGGGAGUAGGACUCCCCUCCAAUCCUAUUCCUAUUAGGAUUCCCCGGAGGGGGAAAAGAGGAGGAGGGGGCCGGCCACCUCUCCUAGUCCUAAUAGGACUAGGGGAGGGGGGAGGCGCGCAGCCCAUCCAGGGCAGCCCCUUCCCUUUUCCACUAAGGCCCACUAUGGCCCAUAUAGCUCCCGGGGGGUUCCGGUAACCCUCUCGGUAUUCCGGUAAAAUUCCGAUUUCACCCGGAACACUUCCGAUAUCCAAAUAUAGGCUUCCAAUAUAUCAAUCUUUAUGUCUCGACCAUUUCGAGACUCCUCGUCAUGUCCGUGAUCACAUCCGGGACUCCGAACAACCUUCGGUACAUCAAAAUGCAUAAACUCAUAAUAUAACUGUCAUCGUAACCUUAAGCGUGCGGACCCUACGGGUUCGAGAACAAUGUAGACAUGACCGAGACACGUCUCCGGUCAAUAACCAAUAGCGGGACCUGGAUGCCCAUAUUGGCUCCUACAUAUUCUACGAAGAUCUUUAUCGGUCAGACCGCAUAACAACAUACGUUGUUCCCUUUGUCAUCGGUAUGUUACUUGCCCGAGAUUCGAUCGUCGGUAUCCAAUACCUAGUUCAAUCUCGUUACCGGCAAGUCUCUUUACUCGUUCUGUAAUACAUCAUCUCACAACUAACAUAUUAGUUGUGAUGCUUGCAAGGCUUAUGUGAUGUGUAUUACCGAGAGGGCCCAGAGAUACCUCUCCGACAAUCGGAGUGACAAAUCCUAAUCUCGAAAUACGCCAACCCAACAUCGACCAUUGGAGACACCUGUAGUACUCCUUUAUAAUCACCCAGUUAUGUUGUGACGUUUGGUAGUACCCAAAGUGUUCCUCCGGUAAACGGGAGUUGCAUAAUCUCAUAGUCAUAGGAACAUGUAUAAGUCAUGAAGAAAGCAAUAGCAACAUACUAAACGAUCGGGUGCUAAGCUAAUGGAAUGGGUCAUGUCAAUCAGAUCAUUCUACUAAUGAUGUGACCUCGUUAAUCAAAUAACAACUCAUUGUUCAUGGUUAGGAAACAUAACCAUCUUUGAUUAACGAGCUAGUCUAGUAGAGGCAUACUAGUGACACUUUGUUUGUCUAUGUAUUCACACAUGUAUUAUGUUUCCGGUAAAUACAAUUCUAGCAUGAAUAAUAAACAUUUAUCAUGAUUAUAAGGAAAUAAAUAAUAACUUUAUUAUUGCCUCUAGGGCAUAUUUCCUUCAGUCUCCCACUUGCACUAGAGUCAAUAAUCUAGAUUACACUGUAAACACCCAUGGAGCUUUGGUGCUGAUCAUGUUUUGCUCGUGGAAGAGGCUUAGUCAACGGGUCUGCAACAUUCAGAUCCGUAUGUAUCUUGCAAAUCUCUAUGUCUCCCACCUGGACUAGAUCCCGGAUGGAGUUGAAGCGUCUCUUGAUGUGUUUGGUCCUUUUGUGAAAUCUGGAUUCCUUUGCCAAGGCAAUUGCACCAGUAUUGUCACAAAAGAUUUUCAUUGGACCCGAUGCACUAGGUAUGACACCUAGAUCGGAUAUGAACUCCUUCAUCCAGACUCCUUCAUUUGCUGCUUCCGAAGCAGCUAUGUAUUCCGCUUCACAUGUAGAUCCCGCUACAACGCUUUGUUUAGAACUGCACCAACUGACAGCUCCACCGUUUAAUGUAAACACGUAUCCGGUUUGCGAUUUAGAAUCGUCCGGAUCAGUGUCAAAGCUUGCAUCAACGUAACCUUUUACGGUGAGCUCUUUGUCACCUCCAUAUACGAGAAACAUAUCCUUAGUCCUUUUCAGGUAUUUUAGGAUGUUCUUGUUAGGUUUCGUAGUAAUUUCAAAAAUUUUCCUACGCGCACACAGGAUCAUGUGAUGCAUAGCAACGAGAGGAGAGUGUUGUCUACGUACCCAACGCAGACCGACUGCGGAAGCGAUGACACGACGUAGAGGAAGUAGUCGUACGUCUUCACGAUCCAACCGAUCAAGCACCGAAACUACGGCACCUCCGAGUUCGAGCACACGUUCAGCUCGAUGACGAUCCCCGGACUCCGAUCCAGCAAAGUGUCGGGGAAGAGUUUCGUCAGCACGACGGCGUGGUGACGAUCUUGAUGAACUACAGCAGCAGGGCUUCGCCUAAACUCCGCUACAGUAUUAUCGAGGAAUAUGGUGGCAGGGGGCACCGCACACGGCUAAGGAAUCGAUCACGUGGAUCAACUUGUGUCAACUUGUGUGUUUAGAGGUGCCCCUGCCUCCGUAUAUAAAGGAGGAGAGGAGGGGAGGCUGGCCGGCCAAAGAGAGAGGCGCAGGAGAGUCCUACUCCUUCUGGGAGUAGGAUUCCUCCCCCCAAUCCUAGUCCAACUAGGAUUCCUCGGAGGGGAAGGGAGAGAGGGGGGCCGGCCACCUUCUCCUAGUCCUAAUAGGACUAGGGGAGGGGGAAGAGGCGCAGCCACCUUGGGCUGCCCCUUUCUCCUUUCCACUAAGGCCCAUGAAGGCCCAUAUGGCUCCCGGGGGGUUCCGGUAACCUCCCGGUAACCCGGUAAAAUCCCGAUUUCACCCGGAACACUUCCGAUGUCCAAACAUAGGCUUCCAAUAUAUCAAUCUUUACGUCUCGACCAUUUCGAGACUCCUCGUCAUGUCCGUGAUCACAUCCGGGACUCCGAACAACCUUCGGUACAUCAAAAUGCAUAAACUCAUAAUAUAAGUGUCAUCGUAACCUUAAGCGUGUGGACCCUACGGGUUCGAGAACAAUGUAGACAUGACCGAGACAUGUCUCUGGUCAAUAACCAAUAGCGGGACCUGGAUGCCCAUAUUGGCUCCUACAUAUUCUACGAAGAUCUUUAUCGGUCAGACCGCAUAACAACAUACGUUGUUCCCUUUGUCAUCGGUAUGUUACUUGCCCGAGAUUCGAUCGUCGGUAUCCAAUACCUAGUUCAAUCUCGUUACCGGCAAGUCUCUUUACUCGUUCCGUAAUACAUCAUCUCACAACUAACAUAUUAGUUGUAAUGCUUGCAAGGCUUAUGUGAUGUGUAUUACCGAGAGGGCCCAGAGAUACCUCUCCGACAAUCGGAGUGACAAAUCCUAAUCUCGAAAUACGCCAACCCAACAUCGACCAUUGGAGACACCUAUAGUACUCCUUUAUAAUCACCCAGUUACGUUGUGACGUUUGGUAGUACCCAAAGUGUUCCUCCGGUAAACGGGAGUUGCAUAAUCUCAUAGUCAUAGGAACAUGUAUAAGUCAUGAAGAAAGCAAUAGCAACAUACUAAACGAUCGGGUGCUAAGCUAAUGGAAUGGCUCAUGUCAAUCAGAUCAUUCUACUAAUGAUGUGACCUCGUUAAUCAAAUAACAACUCAUUGUUCAUGGUUAGGAAACAUAACCAUCUUUGAUUAACGAGCUAGUCAAGUAGAGGCAUACUAGUGACACUAUGUUUGUCUAUGUAUUCACACAUGUAUUAUGUUUCCGGUAAAUACAAUUCUAGCAUGAAUAAUAAACAUUUAUCAUGAUUAUAAGGAAAUAAAUAAUAACUUUAUUAUUGCCUCUAGGGCAUAUUUCCUUCAGCUGGUACAUCAUAACCAGAUGCUUGGGCAUUGUGCACUUUUCAGUAGAAUGCGUGGAGCAUCCACACUUGUUGCAAAGCUUAGAUUUAUCAAACCUGGGCUUUGAAGUGCCUUUUCCCUUGCCUGGGUAUCUAGAUCUCCUGUUCCCAUUGCGCUUUCGCUUAUGCUCGGAAUUGGAUUGUUUACCUCUCGAGGUACCAUUAAACUUUUGUCUAUUUGCAACAUUCAGAUGAACUUUAGGUAAAGGUUGUGCCCCAACUGGGCGCUGAGAGCCAUUCUUAGCGAGUAGCUCAUCAUGCUUUUCAGCCUGAAGUAACAUGUGAAUAAGCUCGGAAUAGACAGUGUAGUUACGAGCACAGUAUUGCUGUUGGAGGAUCCUAUCUGAAGGGAGCAUAGUAGACAAAGUUUUCUCUAUCUUCUCCCCCUCAGUAGGUUCCUUCUCACAAAAGCGCAGUUUGGAACAUAUCUUAUGAACAACAUGAUUGUACUCACCGAUGGACUUGAAAUCCUGAAGAUGAAGAUGAGUCCAAUCAUGGAGUGCUUCGGGCAGGACUACCGCCUUUUGCUGUUCAUACCUCGUUUUGAGGGCCAGAAAUAGAGUACUAGGAGAUUCCUCCUGUAAAUACUCAGACUGGAGAUCUGGAUGAAUAUGGUGCCUUAUGAUGAAUAAGGCAGCAUAGUUCUGCUGUUCUGUCAGCGGCGUGGCCCCAUCCGGGAGAGGAGUCUCCGGGGGUUGUAUUGCACGCGCUAUCCCACGUGACGCAAGACUGAUCUUGAUGUCCAUAGCCCAUGUAGGGUAGUUGUGGCCAUUGAGGGCAAGCUCCUCAAACUCUUUGGCAAUCAUCUUUUCCUACAUGGGAAACCAGAGAUAAUUAAUUUACGGGUGGUAAAUUAAAAACCAUCAUGGUUGUGUAAUAAGAAUGCAAAAAUUGAUACUCAAGUCUAAACUUGAAAAAUUCUCAACCCCAAUUGUGUGAACAUAACACUUUGAAGAUCACAUAGAUCUCACAGUAAUAGGCUACAUCGCCAUUACCUUGUGUAUGCUACAAUUCAGAUAUAAGGAAUACACGUUGGAGGUAAUCGUUUGUCGAGAAUGACAAAGUGUAGACCUCACAGUAAGAGAGGAUAUUCUGCAAAUGAGCAGUAGAUCACAACGCAUUACCUUGUGAUUCCAAAUAAGAUGAGGGAGAAACAUCCAAAAAUUUGCAAGUUUAAUAUGCGAGAGAAGACCUCAAUCGAAAAGACAUGUUCGAUAAAAAUGAGAUGUGGUAAACACAUGGAACAUGUCAUUCUUCUCAGAUGAAAUCCGGUACUUUAUUUAUAUUAUCAAUCCAUUACAUAAUAUAAACACACUAAUAAUUACACAAGUCCUAGUCAGAUUUAAUCUAGAACUGGACUAGUAUGUAAGUAGCAGUCAAACUAGGUACUAAACAUUACUAAACAGAGUCUAAAACUGCACCAUAUACAAUAAUUAGUACUAGACUAAUAAAAACAGAGAUUAAAAAAAACUUGAAGAUAGCAGGUCGACCACCUGGGCCUGGGCCUGCCACCGCCGACCGAAGCCAGCCUGUAGCCACCCACACCGUAUAAGAGGAGGCGAGAGGUGGGGCGGUUACGGAUAAGGACCCGCACCACGCUCGAUCCCCACCACCACCUCUGCGCUCGCAAGGAGCAGGGAGCCCGGUCGCCGGCGACCGGGGCGAGCGCCGGCGCCUCCCCUCGCAUCUUCAGGUGUCAGCGAUGCGACACCGACGAGGCCUCUUCAUCUGAAGAGGAGACGAUAACGGUGGAGGCCUGGCGCAGUGGAGUAGCAGUGAAGCCGAGGUUCGCCGGAGCCCAUGAGCCUGGGCGACGGCCCGGGCGGCAGUCGAGGGCUGCGACGGCGCGCCCGAAGAGGCGGCCGAAGCGCCGCUCCGCGCGGCUGCUUGAGCCCGCGGCAGUCUCUUGUUGAGGCGUGCCGCCGGUGGCGGCGGCGCCCUCCAUGCCGACUCCAAGACGGACUACUCCGGAGGCACCGGUCAACGCGGAGACGAAGGCGAGCGCCUCCUCCUCGUUCACGACGGCGCGCAUCGGCACAGGGCAGUAUCCGGGCGGGCCAGCGGCCUCGGAGGCGGGUGUUAGCGUCGACGGCGCGAGCCACGCGGCCGGCGGAGGAGGUGGUGGAAGCGGAGAUCCAGGGGCGGUGCAGGCGCGGCUGCAGCCCUGUGCACCAUGGAGGCGCUCGGGCCGGCCACUAGCCAGGGAUCGAACCCCAUGGGCGCCUGGCCACGGGCCCAGGGAGCACCAUCGUGGUUGCGUCUAGGAGCGAGGGGAGCACCGCCGGGGGCGCGUCCAGCGGCGCGGUGGCGGCCAGGAGCGCAACGUCCAGCGGCGCUGCGGCCGAAUCGACAGAUGGCUUGCAUCCGGCGACGGAAACGGCGGUGGCCACCAACUCUAUGGCGGCGAAGGGCAAUGAGGCGGUAGCGGCGACCGUCCUCGCGGAUCGGACGGAGGAAGGAGACGAGGCCUGUCAUCUCACCGGCGGUGAGUGCUUCCUCUCUUCUCCUUUCUCUGUUGCCUUUCGCUCUCGCUGGCUGUUCUACGUGCGUGAUAACGUGUUUUGAAUCGAAAGUGAUUGAAUACUUGAUCGAUGGUUACAGGCCCCUUUUAUACGACCCGGAGAGACACGACGAUCCCUCGAGGAGGCGUCGGUUCCAGAAGAUCGAAGAGAGGCGUCGGUUGCGAGACAAACCGCAACGACGGUUUGAGCAAGGGAAGAUUUUCCCCUAAUUACAGAAUUAUUUUUAACAAAAAUAACGAGCGCCAAGGCGGCGGGCCGGCCGGCACACAUCAAUAUACAGUAUUGUGGGCUUGUGGCUGCCGUGUAUACAAGGGUUGUCCCCAAGACCUAUUGGAAAGUAGGGAUGAAUUAAAUGGAGCUUAGGGAUAGCGCUUAGAGUUUGACGGUAAGUGGGUGGUCCACUUAUGUAGGUACGUGCGGUACGUGCGACUCUUUGUUCUCGCGUGUCGGUGCUGGUACGACUUGCAUUGUUGAGGUGUGGUUAGUUACCUAUGUGAUCGACACAUGUGUGAAAGAGGGAGACGCCGGUCUUUGUCAUUUUUUGUUGCAGUGAGUUUGAGGGAGGGCUACCAAGGGAUGGGUCUGUUGCACGGCCGGCCUUUUCUCUCUUCCGUGCGCCAAUACCUCUAAAAAUAGACAUCAUCAGAAAGAGGGCGACAACUUCUAGUAAUUAUUGAAAGUGUCAUUUUUAAAAAUAAAAUGAAUAUUUGUUGAUAACUUUUUUUGCAGAUGGGUUGGAGUCGCUCUUCAUACACUAGCUCUAUAAUACAGUUUAGCUUCACGCGAGUCGGUUGAAUUUUAAAUUCUGGUUAGUCGAUAUUUUGGAAAGAAAGCAACAGUUGCACGGAGCACGAGGCCAUAGACGGCGGCGGCGAGGCAAGCGAAGCAAGGCCCGGGGUGCCGGCAAGACCUUGGACAGGAAGGAGCUAUAGCCAGCAGCGAGCUGGUAUAGGCGAGUUCAAAGGUUGACGGGUGCGGGUGCAGGCUUGCCGGGGAAAAAAAAUUCUAGUGGUCGCUGGUUUAGAGGGAUGGUCGGGACGAUGCCGGCACGGCGGUGGGCGGCGGUAGUGAGGAGGGCGGUGCGGCAAGGCUGACACGGGAGGGCCGCCAAUAGCGGGUGGCACAUGUGAUGCUUUGGGGACGAAGAUGAUCAGGACGGCAGAAAGUGGAAGAAGGCGAUCUAGCCAUUCAUUUUGCAUCGGACGGUUCAAAACAAAUGUACUAACCAAAUUUGUUUUCCAGUAGACUGACACCUACCUACGUGGGUCUAGCAUUACUCUGGCCAGUCCCCUAUAAAUACCGAGUUCUGUUCCUCAGAGGCCAGCUCAACACAACCAUCGCAACUUGGACUUCAAGUACAGUUUUUGUGACUUUGUGCAGCCACCAACGUAACGGCAUGGGUUCCGCGCAGGUCGAUGCCGACGUCAAGCCGCACGCCGUGUGCGUGCCGCUGCCGGCGCAGGGGCACGUCACGCCGAUGCUGAAGCUCGCCAAGAUCCUCCACUGCAGGGGCUUCCAUGUCACCUUCGUCAACUCCGAGUUCAACCACCGGCGGCUCCUCCGCUCCCGCGGCGCUGCCGCACUCGACGGCGUCGAGGGGUUCCGCUUCGCCACCAUACCGGACGGCCUCCCGCCGUCCGACGCCGAUGCCACGCAGGACGUACCGUCCCUCUGCCGCUCCACCAGGGAGACCUGCCUCCCGCACUUCAAGAGCCUCCUUGCCGAGCUCAACGCAUCUACCGAGUCGCCACCGGUCACGUGCGUCGUCGGCGACAACGCCAUGAGCUUCACCGUCGACGCCGCACGGGACAUUGGGGUGCCGUGUGCGCUGUUCUGGACUGCCAGCGUAUGCGGCUACUUGUGCUACCGCCAUUACCGCACCUUGUACGACAAGGGCAUCUUCCCACUCAAAGGUAAUUAAUCCUAUCCUACAAGUUUUCAACAACACUGCGUGCCUCAGUGCCAUGAAUGGAAUUUUUGCGGAUGAAUUAAUUGCGCACAUACUGUGAGCAUGCAGACGUGGAGCAGCUGACUAAUGGGUAUCUUGACACGCCGGUGGACUGCACGGCGGGGAUGAGCAAGCACAUGCGGCUCAAAGACUUCCCGAACUUCAUCUGGUCGACGGACCCCGACGAGUACAUGGCCCACUUCGCCCUCCACGUGACGGUGCGGCUGGCGGAGGCGGACGCCGCCAUCUUCAACACCUUGGAAGAGCUCGAGCCGGCGGCGCUGGACGCGGUGCGCGCCAUGCUCCCGCCCACCGUGCCCGUCUACACCAUCGGCUAUCUCCCCUUACUCGCCGAGGAGAUCGUGCCACAGGGCGGCACGUUGGACGCACUGGGGUCAAACCUGUGGAAGGAGGACGUCUCCUGCUUCGACUUUCUGGACGGCAAGGAGCCCCGGUCGGUCGUGUACGUGAACUACGGCAGCAUAACGGUGAUGAGCAACGAGGAGCUCCUCGAGUUCGCGUGGGGGCUAGCCAACAGCGGCCAGCCCUUCCUGUGGAUCAUCAGGCCGGACCUCGUCAAGGGCGACGCCGCCGUGCUGCCGCCGGAGUUCCUGGAGUCCAUCGAGGGGCGCGGCGUGCUGGCGAGCUGGUGCCCGCAGGAGGCGGUGCUGCGACACGAGGCGGUGGGCGUGUUCCUGACGCACUCCGGGUGGAACUCGACGGUGGAGAGCCUGUGCGGCGGGGUGCCGACGCUGUGCUGGCCCUUCUUCGCGGAGCAGCAGACCAACAGCCGGUACAGCUGCGUGGAGUGGGGCGUGGCCAUGGAGAUCGGCCACGACGUGCGGCGGGAGGCGGUGGAGGCCAAGAUACGGGAGGCGAUGUCCGGCGAGAAGGGGAAGGAGAUGCGCCGCCGGGCCGAGGAGUGGAGGGAGGCCGGCGUCCGCGCAACGCGGCCCGGCGGGCGCUCGCGCGCCAAUCUCGAGAAGCUGGUCGCCGACUCCCUCCUCUCGGGCGGCAAACCACGUGAUUAAAUUACCACUUACUACUACUACGCAUCGUACGUAUUUCAAAUUGGUUACUGAGACAAGAUCUAAAUUUGCAAGUGCUAGCUCUCUCAUACUAUACGUUCAACGCAUGCAGCGCAUGCGGUUCGCUGUACUUUCUGAUUUGAUACAUGGACGUCGUUGUCGUCUACAUUGAUGCCGGCGACGAAGGUCUAUUCCUGAUUGCUCCAUUUCCUGAAAGCAAAUAAUGCUCGUCACCUAACCAGCUCGUGCGCUGCAAUGGUGCCGUGCGGAUCCUCCUGAGAAGGACGCGCGCAACAGAUGAGAUCGAGACUCUUGCGUCCGGACGGAGCCCGGCCACCCUACGAAGCCCAAGCAUCGCCACCACUUGUCCCCUUCUAGUGCAUUCGUCCCUUAUCCAUUGUAUUGUACUAGCGGUUGACACGUGCCUUGCCGCGUCGUUUUUGGCAGGUGAAGUAUUUUUUAGUCGUCUCGUAGUUGACGAGAAUUAUAUUUUACAUCCGAGAGGGGCUAUAAUUGAAGAUACUAUUGUUUCUGGUACAAAAGUUCCUAUAUCAAUGGGAAAUGCCCUACCCUUGAGUGCGGUUUGAACUAUUGAUUUACGUAAUUGAAAGUAACCAAUUAGGUUUACGACGAAACCUAGAAAUCGAUCACUGAUCCAAUUUGACUACCUCUACAGGAUAGACCUUAACAGAAAACUGUUGAGUAACGUGAUGAGGACAUGAAUACCAUUGUUACACCCACAGCCCAUGCUGCUAUACAUACUGGACCGAUUACUAGAGCUCGCGCACGCCAAUUGAAUUAUCAGGUACUUUCGUUUCUUGGUAACGAUUCUAAUGUUCAUGAGAAUAUGAUGCUGCCUAAAUUGAAUACAUUUGUUUUGCUUACAAAUGAAGGGCCUAGCUUGGACAAGAAAGAUGAACCUUGGAGCAAGUUCAAGCAUGGAUGUCGGAGUAAAUAGUCAUGGGUAGCCUAGCCGGCUUCCCCUGGCCCUUCUGAAGAAAUUACGAGCCCAUCCGGCUCUCGAGAAACCCAAGAUGCGGGGCCGCCUUCCCCUAGUCGGCCAUCGCCUUGGCCGGCUUUCGGAAGGGGCCCCGGCUUUAGCCCUUGUGAAGAAGGCCAUGGGGGGAGGGGCGACUUCAUGAAGCCGACCAUGAGAAGGCCGACUCCAAGAAGCCGGCUCUCAUAAAGAGAUCAAGACCGUACCCUCGAAACUCGUGUCUGCCGAGUGGCAGAGAGACGGGGCGUGGCUAUAGUGAAGCUAGCCGCCCCCGAACCCCGGAGCACGACCGGCACAGUGCGCCGUACGGGUGGCCAUGACCCGUCCGGCGCGACACUGUUGCUAUGUCGACUCUGACGCCAUCCACGACGGGCCACCAGCGUGGCCCCCAAAGCGGUGGGCCCUUUCGGGCAGAGAGACGCCCGAAGGCGGCCAUGCCACUGCUAGUCGGCCCAAGAGAGGGCCGGCUGGCCCCCGGCCUCGAAGGAGGCGCCCCAUUAAGGGGACAAGACGAAGUGAGGCUACAGUGAUCGCCCGCCAGGCGGCGGCACUAUAGCCACGCUUACCCCGAUAAAGCCCGUGUCACCAAGAUGAAGCAACAGUAACCAGCCGCCGACACGACCCUGACCAGUGGGGCCUGCCUGUCGGCCAGGGGCCGGCAGCCGGCGGGACCCACCAGUCGGCAGGCCCCAAUAGCCGGCGCAGAAGUCGGCGAGCACGGUCACAGACAGCUGGGCCCCGCGCCCAGUCGGAUUACCAUUGUACCCCCGGGGGGUAGGCCUAUAUAAACCCCCCGGUGCACCCAUGCAAAGGGUUCAACUUUUAACUAGUUCUAGACACCAUACGAAGGGGAGAAGCAGGCUAGCCGUGCCCUUCUUCCUCCUCCUCCUACCGGAACAGCUCAAGGAGCAUUGUGUAGCCACUUGUUCAUUUAGUUACCAUGCGGAGACCCCGCAGAGCAGCAGUAGGGGUGUUAUCUCCACGGAGAGCCCUGAAGCUGGGUAAGAUUCGCCGGCGUGCAUGCCUUCGCCUUAUCUCAUUUCCAGGCACCGGCGAUGUUUUAUUGGCUCCCACAAUGAUAAGCCACCCGUUGGCAUAUGUCGCACCUACCACCCGACAUUUGGCGCCCACCGUGGGCCAAGUGCACCGUCGUCCGGAGACCUGUUCUGGACGGGAACCCUCUUUCUUCCUCGCGAGCGUAGCCAGCCCGGCACGCCCGAUGGCGCUUGCCACGACGCGCUGCAAGGCGUCACCAGCAUCUGCGCGGCGAGCGACCUCGCCGAUCUUCUCGACGAAACCCGCAUCUCCGAUGAGCUCGCCUCUGAUGCGGGCACCGACCGCCUCGCCUGCCUCCUCAGCCAGCUCCACGUCUCUGGCGAGCCCGCUGCGGAUUUGGAGUCGGCUGGCUCCACCGACCCGAUGCCUGUCGACUCCGACACGGCUUCCUACGACACCUUUCCCACCAACGUCGCGAUCUACAACGACCCGCUCCCUCAGGACGGCGGCCGCGAUACUGUCACCACCGAGGUGAUGGUUGUCGGCCAUGGUAGCCCGGCCAACGAGAGCGCCCAUGAUGCCCCGCACGCGGCGGCCCACGACUUAUCCGUCCCCCUCCCGGCGGAUGCUGACGACGAAGCUCUGGAGGCACGCCGCCUCGCCCUCAUCACGGAGGGCCGGAGGCUGGCUUCUAUGAGACGCCUCUCUGAGGCUUACCAGCGCGAAGCUGACUGCGCCGCCUUCGGCACGCCGGCUCCGGCUGGGCCUAGCUGGGCCGGCGUCGUCAGGCAACGCGGCGCCGUCAUCGCCGACACGCUGGGUGUCGAUUGCCUAGUCUAUGCCACCCCGCUCGAGAACCUACGCGCCGCCCAGGCGGCCAUAGAUGAGUUGGACGGCUUGGAGGCCGAAGACCUCCCCCACAUGACCCGGCGCAUCCAGCAGUUGAUCGACGCGGCCGCGCAGCGGCACGAGGCCGAUGCCCGUGCGGGAAGCCCUCCCCCGCGCCGAGAUCACGGUGCGACGUCCCGGACACCGACUACGAGCAACACCCGCGCGCGGCGCGAGAAAGAGCCGGCGGCUAGCCGAAGCCGGACCCGAAUCUCCAUCGAUCGAGAUGCGGACGGCCACCCCCGAGCCAUGGAGUGGCGAGGCAAUCCGCCUCCGCCUCGACCUCGCGGAGAGAGAUAUCCCACCCCACCGCCAGUGGCGCACCCGACUCUCAGCGGCCGACUAGGUCGCCGCGAAGGAGUCGGGGAGAGCGACGCGCACCAUCGGAUCGACCGCCUAGCGCGAUCCCUGGCGCUAGAAGAGGAAGAUGAUGUCGACCCGCCCUGUUUCGGCCCCCGCAUCCGCGACGAGCCUUUUCCCAAAGGGUUCUCGCUCCCAAGAGACACACCCAAGUAUAACGGCUCCGUGAAGCCGGAAGAUUGGCUGAUCGACUACUCUACGGCAGUCAGCAUAGCCAACGGUAACCGGCGCGUUGCCGUGAAAUAUGUGCCCCUCAUGCUGCAGGGCACGGCGCGGACCUGGCUCAACAGCCUCAAGCCUCUCAGCAUCAACAGUCGGCUAGAUUUCACCGAAGCCUUCGUUCGCAACUUCACCAGCACUUACAAGCGGGCUCCGAAGCCCAGGCAGCUCUCCCUGUGCGUACAGGGCCCAACCGAGUCCACUCGCGAUUACCUCACGCACUGGGCCGAGCUUGCAACUCUUGCGAAGGGGUGCACGAGGUGCAAACCAUCGAGUACUUCACUGCCGGGUGCCGAGAGGGCACCCUCCUCAAGCACAAGCUCCUCUGCGACAAGCCGACUACCCUCGACGAGCUUCUGGACAUAGCCGACAAGUACGCCACGGCCGACUCUUAUAUGAAGACCGAGCUCCGGGUAGAUGCGUCCGGGAAAGUGCUCAAUCCGGCGCCCAAGAUGCCGGCUGGGGACUCCGACCGACGCCCACACCCAAACGAUCACAAGCGCAAAGGCCCUGCGCCACCUCCCGACAGUUGGCAGGUGGCCACGGUUGAAGACACGCCGCUUGAAGAGCGGCCUGCGCCCAAGAAGCCCAAGGGCGGCCGGCCGGCUUGGCAGUCGACCUUCUCCUACGAGCAAACCCUUGAUGCCCCGUGCAAGUUCCAUAACGGCGCGAAGCCGUCCAACCACACAACCCGGAAGUGCAAUUGGCUCAACCGAAUCGCCAAGGGCGAAGGGCUCGCGCCGCCUCCUCCGGCUCCGCCGCCUUCGGCCGCUCGGCCCGCAGUCGGAGCCGUGCACGACGAGUUCCCUGACGAGCAAGCAACUUACAUCGUCUUCACCAGCCAGCCUGAAGACCGGCGCGGCAAGCGCCGAGAGCACCAAGAAGUCAGCGUAGUCGCUGCUAGUCCAGCCAGACACAUGCAUUGGUCCGAGAAACCCAUUAGCUGGAGCCGGGCCGACCACCCAGAGGUGAUGCCGUCUCCCGGAUCUUAUGCUUUGGUCCUGGAGGCCACUCUCGUGACGGACAGACGUGCCGCACGCUUCUCCCGCGUUCUGAUAGACGGCGGGAGCAGCAUCAACAUCUUGUACCGCGAUACCCUGGAGAAGCUAAACGUCAAGACAAAGCAGCUCGCGCCGACUCGGACGGUUUUCCAUGGCAUUGUCCCUGGCUUGUCCUGCGCCCCCAUUGGCAAGAUCAAGAUUGAUGUACUCUUUGGAGACAAGGAGCACUUCCGCCGGGAAGCGAUCUGGUUUGAAGUGGUGGAUCUAGAGAGCCCCUACCACGCAUUGCUUGGCCGACCCGCCUUGGCCAAGUUCAUGGCGGUUCCCCACUAUGCAUACCUCAAGAUGAAGAUACCAAGUUCCAAGGGCGUCAUCACCAUAGCCGGCGAUUACAAGAAAUCGUCCAAAUGCGCCGCCGCCAGCAGCCGGCUGGCCGAGUCCCUUGUGAUCGCCGAAGAGAAGAAGGUGCUGAACCGAGUCGUGGCCAUGGCCGGCAAGCAGCCGACCCUGCCCCCGACUCCAAGGAGUAUGAUGCCCAAGGAUCUUUUCAGCCGGCCAAGGAGACCAAGAAGAUACCCCUUGACCCCGAACACCCCGAGAGGUUUGCCGUCAUUGGGGCAAGCCUAGACAGCAAAUAGGAAGGCGAGCUCGCCGAUUUCCUCCGUGAGAAUCGGGACAUCUUUGCAUGGUCCCCCAAGGACAUGCCGGGUGUACCGAAGGAUUUCGCCGAGCACAAACUACACGUCCGAGAAGACGCAAAGCCGGUGAAGCAGCCGCUCCGCCGACUGUCCGAAGAAAAGAGAAGGAUUGUGGGGGAAGAGAUAGCCCGGCUUCUGGCAGCCGGCUUCAUCAUGGAAGUUUUCUUUCUAGAGUGGCUUGCCAACCCGGUCCUCGUGCUGAAGAAGAAUAACAAGUGGCCCAUGUGUAUAGAUUACACUAGCCUCAACAAAGCUUGCCCCAAAGAUCCCUUCGCCCUGCCAAGGAUUAACCAAGUGAUAGACUCCACAGCCGGAUGCGAGCUGUUGAGUUUUUUGGAUGCUUAUUCCAGAUAUCACCAGAUAAAGCUAGACCCGGACGACCGCCUGAAGACCGCCUUCAUCACGCCGUUCGGAGCCUUCUGCUACCUGACUAUGACAUUCGGCUUGAGAAAUGCCGGUGCCACUUUUCAGCGUUGCAUGCAGAAGUGCCUCCUCAAGCAACUCGGCAGAAAUGCCCACGUCUACGUAGACGACAUCGUGGUGAAGACGGAGAGGCGCGGCACCUUGCUGGAAGAUCUCAAGGAAACAUUUGAGAACCUACGCCGCUUCCAAAUCAAGCUCAACCCCGAGAAAUGCGUGUUCGGAGUGCCAGCCGGCCAACUCCUAUGUUUCCUGGUCUCUGAACGCGGCAUUGAAUGCAACCCAGUAAAGAUCAAGGCCACUGAGAGAAUGGCGAUCCCCACCAAACUGCAAGAAAUCCAGAAGUUCACCGGAUGCUUGGCGUCCUUGAACCGCUUCAUCAGCCGGCUUGGAGAGAAAGCUCUCCCCCUCUACCGCCUCAUGAAGAAAAGCACUCACUUUGAAUGGAACGACCAUGCCGACUAGGCCUUUCACGAGCUAAAGAAGAUGCUGGCCAUGCCGCCUGUCCUGGCAGCGCCGACUGAAAAAGAGCCCAUGCUCCUUUACAUCUCCACAACCAGCCGGGUGGUCAGCACCGUCAUUGUAGUCCAACGCCCGGAAGACGGCGGGGCCCAGCCGGUCCAGAGGCCGGUGUACUAUUUGAGCGAGGUGCUGUCCGCCUCAAAGCAGAACUACCCGCACUACCAGAAGAUGUGCUACGGCGUGUACUUCACCGCCAAGAAGCUGAAGCCCUACUUCCAAGAGCAUCCCAUCACGGUCGUAUGCACUGCCCCGCUGGCCGAGAUCAUAGGCAGCCGGGAUGCAUCCGGCCGGGUGGCGAAGUGGGCCAUCGAGCUGGCCCCCUACACGAUCUUCUACCAGCCCCGCACCGCCAUCAAAUCCCAAGCAUUGGCCGACUUCCUCGUUGACUGGGCCGAGACCCAGUACCUGCCGCCGGCUCCCGACUCCACCCAUUGGCGCAUGCACUUUGACGGAUCCAAGAUGCGCACCGGCUUGGGGGCCGGCGUCGUCCUUACCUCUCCAAAGGGUGACAAGCUCAGAUACACGCUGUAGAUCCACUUCGCCGCCUCCAACAACGUAGCCGAGUACGAGGCACUCAUACACGGGCUCCGGCUUGCCAAGGAACUUGGCAUCCGCCGGAUCCUAUGUUACGGAGACUCGGACUUGGUGGUCCAGCAAUCAUCUGGUGACUGGGACGCCAAGGACGCAAACAUGGCAAGAUACCGCUUCCUGGUGCAGCAACUCAACGGAUACUUUGAAGGAUGCGAGUUCCUCCACGUACCGCGAGCCGACAAUGAGCCACCCGAUGCCCUGGCUCGAAUAGGCUCCACUCGGCAAGCAAUACCAACCGGCGUCGCUCUACAACGCAUCCUCAAGCCGUCUAUCAAGCCAUCUCCAGAGUCCGACUCCAUCUUCAUGCCGGCUGACCCCGAUACGGCCGGAUCCGGCUCGAAGAACCACGCAGUUGGCCCGGGGACUUCAGUAGCCGGCCCGGGGACUGCGGUAGCCGGCCCGGGGACUUCAGUAGUCGACCCGGGGAUUGCGGUAGCCGGCCCAGGGACUGCACCAACACACUAGCCGGCGGUCGACUCUAGCACUUCAUCACCCAGCCCGCCCACCCUGGUGGCGGUAGCCACUUUGGCAGUAAGCGAAGUUGCAGCUCCGUCAUGGGCUCAAACCAUCCUCAAUUUUCCAGUAAACCAAGACUUGCCGGCUGACGAAACAGAGGCGAGACAAGUCCAACGUCGAGCCGGAGCAUACACAAUCAUCAACAGAGAACUUGUUAAGCGCAGUGUCACCAGAGUCCUCCAGCGGUGCGUCGAGCAAGAGAAAGGCGUUGCAAUCCUCAGAGAUAUUCACCAAGGAGAAUGUGGCCACCACGCGGCUUCAAGAUCGCUCGUCGCCAAAGCUUUCCGCCAUGGUUUUUUCUGGCCGACUGCUUUGGACGAUGCUAAAGAAUUAGUCAAACGUUGCAAAGGCUGCCAACUUUUCGGCUCCAAACAACACAUGCCGGCUUCGGCACUCAAGACCAUUCCCCUCACCUGGCCCUUCGCCGUGUAGGGACUGGAUAUGGUGGGCCCAUUCAAGACGGCGCGCGGCGGCAUGACGCAUUUGCUCGUCGCCGUGGAUAAAUUCACCAAGUGGAUUGAGGCAAAGCCGAUCAAGAAGCUGAAUGGGCCGACUGCGGUAACUUUCAUCGCACACAUAACAACUCGGUACGGCGUGCCGCACAGCAUCAUCACCGACAAUGGCACGAAUUUUGCCAAGGGAGCCUUGGCACGAUUCUGCGCGGCACAAGGCAUCUGGCUGGACCUUGCGUCCGUCGCCCACCCACAGUCAAACGGCCAGGUCGAGCGAGCUAACGGCCUCAUCCUCUCCGGCAUCAAACCCCGCCUGGUCGUACCACUGGAGCGUUCAGCCGGCUGCUGGCUCGAUGAGCUGCCGGCUGUACUUUGGAGUCUACGCACUACCCCAAACAAGUCAACCGGCUUCACCCCUUUCUUCCUCGUGUACGGUGCUGAGGCGGUCAUCCCAACCGACAUCGAAUUCGACUCGCCUCGGGUAACCAUGUACACGGAGGCGGAGGCCAAGGAAGCGCGAGAAGACGGCGUCGACCUACUGGAAGAGGGCCGACUGUUAGCCCUCAUCCGGUCUGCCAUCUACCAGCAGGGUCUGCGCCGCUACCACAAUCGGAAGGUCAGGCCAAGAUCCUUCCAAGAGGGCGACCUUGUGCUCCGGCUGAUCCAGCGAACAGCCGGCCAGCACAAGCUCGCGGCCCCUUGGGAGGGCCCCUUCGUCAUCAGCCGAGCUCUAGGCAACGAUUCCUACUACCUCAUCGACGCACAGAAGCCCAAGGCACGCAAGAGAGACGACUCCGGCAAGGAGUCGGAACAACCAUGGAACGCCAACCUCCUUCGAAGAUUUUACAGUUGAAAUGCAGUAUGUAUCGCGCUAACUUUUGUACUAAGUUCGAGGCAACAGGCCCCUCGAGGACGGCUCGGGGACUGCCAUCUUUUAUCUAUGAAUGAAAACUAUCAUGCGUAUGAUCUUGUCUUUUCAUUCAUUUAUUCCGUCCGGCACCGGGUCCGACGAGUCGGCCCGGGGACUGGCCGACUAGAGUUAUAUUAGGAGUCCUACCCACGAUCAGACAAGUAGUGUGUUGGCACCUAGGCCUGGCUCUUGCCAAAGUCGCAGUUCGAAGAACCGAUUGUCCGGCUGGCAAGAGUCACAAGCCGGAAAGGAUGCGCACACGAAAAAGGGCUAGGGACCAACGGACUUAUAUAACAAAAGCCGGUUUGCCGUCUACCCGCCGACCGACUACCAGAGUAGCCGGCAGGUCGGUUUUCAUUCACUUCACUUCAAAUCCAAGAAAGCUCAAGUACUUGCCUCCCCAGCAAGGGAAGGCAGCAAAGGAAAAAAGCCUAAGGAUAAGAAGUGCAAUCGAAUGGAAAUUGAACAUGCACGCAAUAAUAUUUACAUAAAAGACCUCCAGAGAGGCCAGCAUCCAACAUAGUUCGAUACACCCCCAGUGGGUGGAAUUGCGAAAACUUAAAGUUGUUCGAAAGACAAAAGCAGGAACAAUAAGGACGACAGAUCAACCCGGCGGGGCAGCUGACGAGCUAGGCUGGUCGGUGGAGACGGUUGCGCCGGCUGAAGGAGCGGCCGGCUGGCGAACUUCAGCCUAAUCACUGCCUCUUGCAGAGGGCGCGCUUCCGCGCGGCUCGUUGCUGGAGGCACGGUCAGCUUGAGGUCGGCCGGUCGUCCCACUAGCCGGAUCGACGUCUUCACCUUCCAUCUCCUCGUCAUCCUCGCCCUCGUCGCUAGAGGCGAUUUCCUCGGCCGAGUCCUCGCCCACCGCCGGGUUCAGCCCGAACCACUCCUCCGGCUGGGCGACGCCAUCAUCAUUGAGUUCGGGCGCGAAGACGCUGGUGUCAGUGCACUCGGCGAUGGUCGAGGCACGUUGGGCGAUGGCCGGCCGCACUUCUUCAAGCUCCGCGUCGGCCUCCAGCCGCCAAGUGUGCAGUUGGUCCAGGCUCAGCCCUGGGUACCAAGCGCGAACAAACUCCAGCGCCCUCCCAGCUCCAAGACGGGUCGCCGACGCCUGCCAAGCCUCGAAGCGGCCGACUGCGACUUCCAACCAGUCGGCGGUCCAGCUUGGGGUGCGGGGGAUCGCUUCGCCGGGCCAGAGGGCGGCCAGCACCUGCGCUCCGGCACGUUGAAGAUGGCGGAGCAUCCGGUGGGCCGGCUGCAGCCGCGCUUGGACGGCAAUAAGUUGCUCCUCCAGCGUCCGGUUUGCAUCCGGCGCAAUCCUAACUCCCGCCUGACGACGCACUUCGCGAUGAGCCUCGAUGGCUUGGGCGGCGAGGACGGAGUAGCCGGGAAAGUAGUCUGCACAAGAAAAACAGGCGGCAAAAGUCAGAACAGAGCUCCAGGCGUCCAGCAGGCGUACGAAGGGCGGGAAAGGCGGCUUACCAUCGAUCAGAUCUUCGAUGCGGCCGUAGCCGUCUUCCAGCGCCCGACGCGUCUCGGCCCAGCUCGUCUCCUCGAUUUCAAGCUCCGCCUUCAUGGCGGCCUCGGCGUCCUGCGCCUUCCGCAGAGCCGCCUUGUGGCUCUCCUCCUGGUCGGCCAAUUUCUUGGCCAGGAGGUCGCGCUCUUGGACUAAGGCGGCGUACUCCACGUCCUUGGCGCGGACGGUGGCUUGCGCCUCGCUGAGCUCCUUCCUCAAGUCGGCGUUGGCUCCUGCAAGAGCAAAAGACAAAAAGAAAGAAACCAGUAAGAGAAAGGUCGUCGAGAAAGAUCCGACCCGACUGCUCAGCAGUCGGCCCGAAUCUCGGGGACUACACCCAGUGGGUGCGCUGACGCGCCCCCACAGGAAAAAGGCAAGAACAAGUACUUACUUUGGCUGUUGGCCAAGUCAUCGGUCCUUCGGCCCAGCUCCUGGGCCUGGGAGUUGAAGGCGGCAGCACGAGAGUUGUGGUAAUCCUGAAGAUCGGACAGAAAACAGAAUUAAGAAGGUCGUCGAGAAAUAUCCGACCCGACUGCUCAGCAAUCGGCCCGAAUCUCGGGGACUACACCCAGUGGGUGCGCUGGCGCGCCCCCACGGAAGAAAGCAGAAGACCAGAGCGGUCAAAAAAGAAAAUGAAGAACUUACCCGGAUGGCGGCUCGCGUCAGCAAAAACUCCUGAGUCAAUUGCUGCAGGAGGGUGGCCUGAGCCUGCAGCCGGCUCUGAACCCCUUGGGCCGCCAUGUUCAGCUCGCCGGUCCCUCCGCUGGGAGUCCACCCGGACGUGGCGGAGCUGGCCGCCUCCAAGGCUUCCGCCGACUGGCCGGCGCCCGCGGCUUGGCGCGUUUCCGGUGGGGCGGAGUCUCCACCUGCGCGUUGGCGCGCCGCCGGCUGAAUCUCAAGGCCGGCUCCGGCCUCAGGUGCGCCUCGGGCCGGCUCUUCUGGCGCCACCGACGACUGACCGCCUUGGCCUGCUCCGGCUGGCGCUGCUGGCGGCGUCUUCCCGGCGAAGGCCUCGAAGAGCCCCUCCCUUUGCGUCGGCGGCUGAUCUUGGAUGAUCUCCUCCGCCAAGGGCAGCAGGGUGUCCGGGGCCACAGUGCGGAGGGGGAUGGCGAGCAGCGGAGGCUGGCUACGCGUGCCCUCCGUCUCCGUCUCCGCGGUCGCCCGCUCCGCCUGGGCCUUGGCCGCCGCGUCCGCGCGCUCCUUCGCCGCUCGAGCGGCCUCCCGCUCCGCCGCCUCCCUCUCCUCCCGCGCCUCGCGAGCAUUUCGCUCCAUGGAUUCCAUGAGGUCGGCGCGGGGGUCCACGCGGCGGGAGCCUGAAGAUCCGACGGUCGGCCCGACCACAGAGCUGCCCGGGCCCCGCUCGAGGGAAAGCGGCGCCCUGCUCAGAAAGUGGAGAAGGGUGAGAACAAAAGAAGACAACAAAGAAAAGACAGGCACACAAGCAACUAAGUACUUACGCUGAGACCGACCGGGGCUGCUUCACCGGCUUCCGGAAGCGGGCCUCCUUCGCGGCCGCCUUGUCUCUCUUCGUCGCCGCGGCGGAGGCCUUCGACUUCUUCGGCCGGCUGCCAAAGAGGGGAUGCGCGGCCCGGUGUUUUUGUACACCGCCACCGGUAGCCGGCGCGGCGGACGAACUCGCGCCAUGAUGGUCGGCUGCCGGCUGGCGGUGCGGGACUUCCUCGACCUCGGCGUCAUCCGGCCAGUCGGCGAAACUGGCGGAAAGCCCGGUGCCCACGGGCUCGGCGACGUCCCCCGUGGCGGCGUCUUCCAUGGCGGCCGCCCCCAGGUCCGGGUCGUCGAUGUCAUCCACCACGCGGUCAGGGGCAUACUCGCGUUCGGCCCCUGCCGCCCCAGCCGACGGCGCAAGGAGGGGGUUCUGCUAAGGAGAAUUCGACUGGUCAGAAGCCGGCCGUCCUAAAGCCGGCUAAUGACAGAAAGAAAACAAAGAGAAAAACUUACCAUGGGCGGAGAAUUGGCGCGGGAGUACGGCGCCUUGCCGUAGCGCCAGUCGUCGGCGAGCUUGAGGUUGGUGACGUAGUUAACCAUGAGCGCCACCUCAGCAUGGGGCAUCUCCCAUGUGCUCAGCCGGCAGGGGUCGAAGUGGCCGCUCAUCUGGCAUAGCAUGUGGGGCCGGCUCUGGAGAGGGAGAACCCGGCGCUCCACAAAGGCGGCCACCAGGUCGGCUUCGCGCAGGCCUUCCGACUGGAUCAUUACCCGAAGCCAGGCGAUGGCGGUGUUUCCAGCCGGAGACAAGGACUUGGACCGGUAGCCCCAAGACGGCUGCCUCCCAGCCGGCGGGCCGGCUACGUAAGCCGGCAGAUUGACGUGGUCUCCUUGUGGGGCGAUGUUCUUCACGUAGAAGUAUGAUUUUUGCCACAGCUUCACCGAUUGAAUGAGAGGGAUGUGCGGGAAGGGGUUGCUGUCGCCUGACCUCUUCAUGGCGAUGAAGGCUCCGCAAGGGGCGGGCACGCCGGCGGUGACGGUGCCGAGCUUGUUCUGGAAGAGCUCCGCCCAGAGCUCUAGCAUGGGCAGCACUCCCAGGAAGCCCUCGCAGAGGGAGACGAAAGCUGACAGCAGCACCACCGCGUUGGGUGUGAGGUGGUGCGGCUGGAGAUGGUAGAAGUCGAGGAACGAGCGCAUGAAGCCGCUCGCUGGAAGGCCAAAACCAUGUAGAUAAUGCGUGUGGAAGACAACCCGCUCGUCUUCCUCCGGCGCUGGCGAUAUUUCCUUCUCCAGCGCCAGACGGACCUACACGAGGCGGGCGUCGGGCAGGCGCCGGGUCUGGCGGAGGAACUCUAUGUGGUCCUCAUGGACGUGGGAGCCGUCCCAUGAGCUUGACAGCGCCAUGGACAUGGUGAUAUGGGGCGCUGCGACGGGAGGCUGCGUGGAGUGCGAGAGGAAGAAGAAGAGAGAGCAAGAAGACGAAGAGGGACGGGGAGCGGGGGAGCGUGCGAACCUCUGCCUCUCCCCCUCCUCCCCUACUUAUAGGCUCGUGCGCCAGAGCCGAGGAGGUGCGGCAUGGGGGAUCGUGGGGAUCGAUCGUGCCCACUCCCCCCACGCCCCGCGAUUAUUGCGCACUAAAGGCAAGCUGAAACAGCCACGGGAAGGCGAGCAGUCCCCCUGGGCCAUAGAAGAUCGGCGCUCGGGCCGAGGCCAGGGAGUGGCGGGCCCAGGCCUGCGGCGGCGUCCCGUCGCGCGCGUGCACGGGCAGGCCCUCGUCGCCACGUGGCCACCAAGGGGCCCGCGGUCAGCAUGCGGGUCAACCAAGAAAGCUCUAUGAAGAUCGGCCUAUGACAACAAGCGCCGGCUCCUUGGGGUAAGAAGCUGACCAAACUUCUUGCCUCCUUGACCGCCUCGAAGCUCGCUCAGCUUCGGGGACUACUGUCGAAGUAAAUAGCCAUGGGUAGCCUAGCCGGCUUCCCCUGGCCCUUCUGAAGAAAUUACGAGCCCGUCCGGCUCUCGAGAAACCCAAGAUGCGGGGCCGCCUUCCCCUAGUCGGCCAUCGCCUUGGCCGGCUUUCGGAAGGGGCCCCGGCUUUAGCCCUUGUGAAGAAGGCCAUGGGGGGGGGGGGCGACUUCACGAAGCCGGCCAUGAGAAGGCCGACUCUAAGAACCGGCUCUCAUAAAGAGAUCAAGACCGUACCCUCGAAACUCGCAUCUGCCUAGUGGCAGAGAGACGGGACGUGGCUAUAGUGAAGCUAGCCGCCCCCGAAUCCCGGAGCACGAUAGACACAGUGCGCUGUACGGGUGGCCAUGACCCGUUCGGCGCGGCACUGUUGCUAUGUCGACUCUGACGCCAUCCACGACGGGCCACCAGCGUGGCCCCCAAGGCGGUGGGCCCUUUCAGGCAGAGAGAUGCCCGAAGGCGGCCAUGCCACUGCUAGUCGGCCCAAGAGAGGGCCGGCUCCUCGCAGCCGGCUGGCCCCCGGCCUCGAAGGAGGCGCCCCAUUAAGGGGACAAGACGAGGUGAGGUUACAGUGAUCGCCCGCCAGGCGGCGGCACUGUAGCCACGCUUACCCCGACAAAGCCCGUGUCACCAAGAUGAAGCAACAGUAACCAGCCGCCGACACGACCCUGACCAGUGGGGCCUGCCUGUCGGCCAGGGGCCGGCAGCCGGCGGGACCCACCAGUCGGCGGGCCCCAAUAGCCGGCGCAGAAGCCGGCGGGCACGGUCACAGACAGCUGGGCCCCGCGCCCAGUCGGAUUACCAUUGUACCCCCGGGGGGUAGGCCUAUAUAAACCCCCUGGUGCACCCAUGCAAAGGGUUCAGCUUUUAACUAGUUCUAGACACCAUACGAAGGGGAGAAGCAGGCUAGCCGUGCCCUUCUUCCUCCUCCUCCCACCGGAACAGCUCAAGGAGCAUUGUGUAGCCACUUGUUCAUUUAGUUACCAUGCGGAGACCCCGCAGAGCAGCAGUAGGGGUGUUAUCUCCACGGAGAGCCCCGAAGCUGGGUAAGAUUCGCCGGCGUGCAUGCCUUCGCCUUAUCCCGUUUCCAGGCACCGGCGAUGUUUUAUUGGCUCCCACAAUGAUAAGCCACCCGUUGGCAUAUAUCGCACCUACCACCCGACAAUGGAGAUGAUGGCAUGCGCAAGGGAAACAAGAAAGGAAUUAUAAGUGAUGAUUCCAGGACUCUGAAGCCACCAUAAUUAGUGCAUGAAGCAUGGGACGAAAUAUACAAGAUGCCACUUCAUAAAUUUCGUCCAGAGGCUAUUUUAGGUGCUGCGUCACCUUAUUAUUGGGCCAGGCCCAUGUAUUUUCGAAGUACUUAAGUAUAGGCUGUUUUUAGAGUCCGUAUGUGUGGGGAAACAAGAGUUAGGGUUGGUUUCGGACCCCUCCACCAAGGGCCAUGAAAUUCCCCCUCUCUCCUCCAUAUAUACAACCCUUAGGGCAUCGUUUAGGCUUUGGGUUUUGUUUAGAUUAAAAGUUCGCCAUAGCUGCAACUUCGCGUACUUCGUUUGUGUUCAACGACUAGACCAAGGCGUCACAGAACCCCACCUUGAUCGAUAAAGCUUUCAUCUUAUAUUCGCAAUAUCCAGAUUGCAAUCUCAGUUUCUUGCUUGUUCUUCGUUUGCUUGCAGGAAACAGACCCUCAUGGUCAGGUUGAUCAUGCUCCGGCGUGGUCAAUAACCCUCAAAAGUUGGUUGAGCGAUUGCUAAGGCGCGACGUCUCGCACGUUCGUAGUCGGAUCGUCAAGGUCGACUCCCACAGAAAACGAUAGCCACCAUCUCAUCAAAACAUCGGGAGACCUUUGCCUCUAUCAAGUGGUAUCAGAUUUUCAGGUUGCUUGGUGAGAUUUUACAGUUUUUCGUAGUUUAAAUCGUGUCUAUUCUUCGUACCUAUAGUCCACGAAAAAGCCAAAAAAAGGGUUAGUUCAUCCUAUCCGAACCAAUCUGAGCCUUUGCAUAAUCUUUUCUGUAUUUGCUUUGUUGAAUUUGCGGUUGCAUCAUCGUGUCAAGUUGCUGGUCUUAGCGUCUAGUCCUUUAGAGUUUCGAGUUCUGUUCACAGGUUGUCACGUCACCGCUGCCAUAUAUCACCACCGCAUCAUCAUCAUCGCUGCUGCCAUAUACCACCACCACACCAACUUCAUCGUGGCUGCCAUAUUCACCACCAAUCUGAGUCCAUAUACGCCACCACAUAUUCGCUGCCAUCACGCCAAUCCGAGUUCACCUGCAACAUAUAUCCGCCACCAGUCCAAUUUCCACCAGAUUCAUCGCCGCCACCAGUCCGAGAUUCCACCAGAUUCAUCUCCGCCACCCGUCCUAGUUCGACUCCAGUAAUUGUUGCAUUGUUUUCGAGUUCCAGACACACCAUACUCCGAGUCGUGACAGAGUAGGACUCCCGAGAUUCCGUGCUACCCGCAGAAGAAAAAUAUUUCCAAACUCAAAAAAAACUAAGUCUGGAAAAUUUUGGCUAGGCAGUUUUUAGACCAUUUGUAGACUUUUUCAAAAAAAAAAUUUGUUGCGGAGCAAAAAGAAAAGAGGAAAAAAAGUGCAAAAAAAGUGAAAAAAGGAAAAAAAAAUCAGAGUGUGCUCCUCCAUUGUUUACGUGCAGCGCCGUGAUUUUGUUAGUGUUCUAGGCUCGCGUCUCUAGCACGGUCUAGCCUAGGACCAGCACAGUACCGUCGUUGAGCGUUUAUUCAACUUUGCAUCUCUAAAUUGAUUAUUGCCGACCCUUUUUGCUACCAUAUCAUAAGCCUUCCCAGCUUCACAUACAUCUACGUCGUGCGUUUGACUCUCCCUGGUAAUCGCUCUAUCCAAGCUUUGAGAGUUUUGACUACGACGGUUGCCGAUCACCGCCUGCUGCUGGGUAAGAACUGGUAAGAAUUUGAGAUUUGCUUGACGGAUUUGUGACACCACCACCACCUCUUGUUAGUAGUCUAUAGGAUCAUAUUCUUGUGUGUUUCUAUUGUUGCUAACCAUGGCAGGAUCACAAGCCGACGAGACUGACUGGGAGAACAUGACGAAUAAGGAGUUGCAUGAUAAAUUUCAGCAAAUGAUGAGUGGACAGGUGCAAGAUGUGCUAAACAGAUUUGAAGAGGCCAUGGAGAAGAUAGAUGGCAUGGAGAAGACGUUCAAAACAAAGCUCGAUAACAGGUUUAAUGAGUUGCUCGCGCGUCUUCCACCACCACCACCGGCUGCACCUACCGCACCUCUACAACAACAACAACAACGACUACCUACACAUCGUGAAACAGCCCUCCGCCGAGCGAGCCGUCUCCCUCUUACACCUGGCCAAACUGUUGGUGCUGCUGUUGAUACUUCUGUGGCUCCUGCUGCUGAUGCGGAGGAGGAUGAUUUUGCCCGAGAUUACGAGGAUGAGGUUGAUCAAAAUCAGAACUACGUGCCACCACCAGCACAACAACCACCAGGUCGUCCACAUGCAAAUAAUGGCAAUGGUAGGGAUCACCCUCAGAUACGAGAUCAUGACCAUCUCCCUAAACUAAAUUUGAAUAUUCCACCAUUUGAGGGUAGAUAUGUUCCUGAUAUAUAUCUUACUUGGGAGUUAGAAACUGAACAACGACUUACAUGUUUACAAUAUCCCGAGGAGAGACGUGUUCUUGCUGCUGUUUGUGCAUUCACUAGUUUUGCAUGUGUUUGGUGAUCUGAGCAUUGUAGAUUAUAUCCUAUUCCAGCUACUUGGGCUGCUUUGAAAACUGCUAUGCGUACUCAUUGGGUUCCACCAUAUUAUCAAUGUGAAUUACUUCAAAAAUUGCAGCGUUUAAGACAAGGAAUUUUUUUGUAGAAGAAUAUUAUCAGGAAUUACAAACUGGCAUGAUUAGAUGUGGUAUUGUUGAGGAGAAUGAAGCUAUGCUUGCACGUUUUAUGGGUGGAUUAAAUAGAGAGAUUCAGACCAUCCUAGAGUAUAAGGAGUAUAAUAAUAUCACUCGUUUAUUCCAUCUUGCUUGUAAAGCUGAACGUGAAGUGCAGGAUCGACAGGCUUUGGCGCGAACUAACUUUUCUGCAGGUCAAUCUUCAUCAUGGACACCACGUGCAUCCUCUACUUCCACUCCACCAGCACCUCCAUCAGGUGCCACCUCCAGCUGUGAUACAAGAAAGCAGGCACAACCACCACUAUCUGCCAAGAGCACACCUGCUGGACCUGCGCAGAGCUCUUCUUCUUCCAUGGCAUCAACAGGGCACACAAGUGAUAUUAUUUGUCGUCGUGUGAUGAUUGCUACUGAGGAUGGUGGGUAUGAGUCCGCUAGUGACUAUGAUGAGGAGACUUUGGCUCUUAUUACACGUGAAGAACACGGUGGAGAUGAUUCUGAUCAUGAGACGCAAUACAUGGCUGCUGAAGAUGCUGACAGGUAUGAAUGUUUAGUUGCUCAAUGUGUUUUGAGUGUGCAGGUUACACAAGCUGAGCAAAAUCAGAGGCAUAAUUUGUUCCAUACAAAGGGAGUUGUGAAGGAACGUUCUGUUCGCGUCAUCAUAGAUGGAGGGAGCUGCAAUAACUUGGCUAGCAUGGAGAUGGUGGAGAAGCUAUCUCUCACCGCAAGACCACAUCCACAUCCUUACUACAUCCAAUGGUUCAACAACAGCUGCAAGGUUAAGGUAACACGUACUGUUCGUGUGCAUUUUAGUAUCUCUACAUAUGCUGAUUAUGUUGAUUGUGAUGUGGUACCUAUGCAAGCAUGUUCCUUAUUACUUGGUAGACCAUGGCAAUUUGAUAAAAAUUCUGUACACCAUGGUAGAAACAAUCAGUAUACUCUUGUUCAUAAGGAUAAAAAUAUUACUUUGCUUCCUAUGACUCCUAAUUCUAUUUUGAAAGAUGAUAUCAACAGAGCUAAUAAAGCAAAACAGGAGAACAAUAAGAGUGAAAAUCAGAUUGUGGCAAAAGAAUUUGAGCAACUAAUGAAGCCUAAUAAUAAACAAUCUAGUGUUGCUUCUGAAAUUAAAUUGAAAAGUGCAUGUUUACUUGCCACCAAAUCUGAUAUUGAUGAUCUAGAUUUUAGCAAAUCUGUUUGCUAUGCUUUUGUGUGCAAAGAGGCAUUAUUUUCAUUCGAGGACGUGCCUUCCUCUUUGCCUCCUGCUGUCACUAACAUUUUGCAGGAGUUCGCUGACGUCUUUUCACAAGACGUGCCACCGGGAUUACCACCUAUUCGAGGGAUUGAGCAUCAAAUUGACUUAAUUCCCGGUGCAUCAUUACCCAACCGUGCACCAUACCGUACCAAUCCAGAGGAGACGAAAGAGAUUAUGCGUCAAGUACAAGAACUGCUCGACAAAGGUUAUAUACGUGAAUCCCUUAGUCCUUGUGCUGUUCCUAUCAUUUUAGUGCCGAAAAAGGAUGGUACGUCGCGUAUGUGCGUUGAUUGUAGAGGCAUUAAUAAUAUUACUAUUCGUUAUCGUCAUCCUAUUCCUAGGCUAGAUGAUAUGCUUGAUGAAUUGAGUGGCUCUACAAUAUUCUCCAAAGUUGAUUUGCGUAGUGGAUACCAUCAAAUUCGUAUGAAAUUGGGAGAUGAAUGGAAAACAGCAUUUAAAACUAAGUUUGGAUUAUAUGAGUGGUUAGUCAUGCCUUUUGGGUUAACUAAUGCACCUAGUACUUUCAUGAGGUUAAUGAACGAAGUUUUACGUGCUUUCAUUGGACGAUUUGUGGUAGUUUACUUUGAUGACAUAUUGAUUUAUAGCAAAUCUUGGAGGAACAUUUGGAACAUUUACGUGCUGUUUUUAUUGCUCUACGUGAUGCACGUUUGUUUGGUAACCUUGGAAAGUGCACCUUUUGCACCGACCGAGUAUCUUUUCUUGGCUAUGUUGUUACUCCACAGGGAAUUGAAGUUGAUAAAGCCAAGAUUGAAGCUAUUGAGAGUUGACCGCAGCCCAAAACGGUCACACAAGCGAGGAGUUUCCUUGGCCUCGCUGGUUUCUAUAGGCGUUUUGUGAGAGAUUUCAGCACCAUUGCUGCACCUCUCAACGAGCUUACAAAGAAGGAUGUGCCUUUUGUUUGGGAUACCGCACAGGAAGCAGCCUUCACGGUAUUGAAAGAUAAGUUGACACAUGCUCCUUUACUCCAACUUCCUAAUUUCAAUAAGACUUUUGAGCUUGAAUGUGAUGCUAGUGGAAUUGGAUUAGGAGGUGUGUUAUUACAAGAUGGCAAACCUGUUGCAUACUUUUCUGAAAAAUUGAGUGGGCCUAGUCUGAACUAUUCUACUUAUGAUAAAGAAUUAUAUGCUCUUGUUCGGACCUUAGAAACAUGGCAACAUUAUUUAUGGCCCAAGGAAUUUGUUAUACAUUUUGAUCAUGAAUCUUUGAAACACAUUAAAUGUCAAGCAAAACUGAACCGUAGACAUGCUAAAUGGGUUGAAUUCAUUGAGACUUUCCCUUAUGUCAUUAAACACAAGAAGGGUAAAGAAAAUGUUAUUGCUGAUGCAUUGUCUCGUCGUUAUACUAUGCUUUCACAACUUGACUUUAAAAUAUUUGGUUUGGAGACCAUCAAAGAUCAAUAUGUUCAUGAUGCUGAAUUUAAAGAUGUAUUGCAGAAUUGUAAGGAAGGGAGAACUUGGAACAAGUUCGUUCUUAACGAGGAUUUGUGUUUCGUGCUAACAAGCUAUGCAUUCCAGCUAGCUCCGUUCGUCUUUUGUUGUUGCAGGAGGCGCAUGGAGGAGGAUUAAUGGGACACUUUGGCGUCAAGAAGAUGGAGGAUAUACUUGCUACACAUUUCUUUUGGCCAAAGAUGAGACGAGAUGUUGAGUGUUUUGUUGCUCGCUGCACUACAUGUCAAAAAGCUAAGUCAUGACUCAAUCCUCAUGGUUUAUAUAUGCCUUUGCCUGUACCUAGUGUUCCAUGGGAGGAUAUAUCUAUGGACUUUGUUUUAGGUUUACCUCGAACAAAGAAGGGGAGGGAUAGCAUAUUUGUUGUCGUGGAUAGGUUCUCGAAAAUGGCACACUUUAUACCAUGUCAUAAAAGCGAUGAUGUUGUUAAUGUUGCUGAUUUGUUCUUUCAUGAAAUUAUUCGCUUGCAUGGUGUGCCAAAUACUAUUGUUUCAGAUCGUGAUACUAAAUUUCUUAGCCACUUUUGGAGAUGUUUAUGGGCUAAGUUGGGGACUAAACUGCUUUUUAGUACUACUUGUCACCCCCAAACUGAUGGACAAACUGAAGUAGUCAAUAGAACAUUGUCUACUAUGCUUAGGGCUGUUUCGAAGAAUAACAAGAAAAUGUGGGAAGAAUGCUUGCCUCAUAUUGAAUUUGCUUAUAAUCGUUCAUUGCAUUCUACUACUAAGAUGUGCCCUUUUGAAAUUGUGUAUGGUUUCCUACCUCGUGCACCUAUUGAUUUGUUGCCUCUUCCAUCUUCGGAGAAGGUUAAUUUUGAUGCUAAAGAACGUGCUGAAUUGAUUUUAAAAAUGCAUGAGUUAACUAAGGAAAACAUUGAGCGUAUGAAUGUUAAAUAUAAACUUGCUGGAGAUAAGGGUAGAAAACAUGUUGUGUUUGCACCCGGAGAUCUUGUUUGGUUACAUUUGUGUAAGGAUAGAUUUCCUAAUUUGCACAAAAUCAAAGCUAAUGCCACGUGCUGGUGGUCCUCUUAAGGUGUUAGAGAGAAUAAAUGAUAAUGCAUAUAAACUUGAGCUGCCUGCAGAUUUUAGGGUUAGUCCCAUUUUUAACAUUGCAGAUUUGAAGCCUUAUUUGGGUGAGGAUGAUGAACUUUCAUUGAGGACGACUUCAUUUCAAGAAGGGGAGGAUGAUGAGGACAUCAGUACCAUUGUUACACCCACAGCCCCUGCUGCUAUACAUACUGGACCGAUUACUAGAGCUCGCGCACGCCAAUUGAAUUAUCAAGUACUUUCGUUUCUUGGUAACGAUUCUAAUGUUCAUGAGAAUAUGAUGCUGCCUAAAUUGGAUACAUUUGUUUUGCUUACAAAUGAAGGGCCUAGCUUGGACAAGAAAGAUGAACCUUGGAGCAAGUUCAAGCAUGGAGAUGAUGGCAUGCGCAAGGGGAACAAGAACUGAGUUACAAGUGAUGAUUCCAGGACUCUGAAGCCACCAUAAUUAGUGCAUGAAGCAUGGGACGAAAUAUACAAGAUGCCACUUCAUAAAUUUUGUCCAGAGGCUAUUUUAGGUGUUGCAUCACCUUAUUAUUGGGCCAGGCCCAUGUAUUUUCAAAGUACUUAAGUAUAGGCUGUUUUUAGAGUCCGUAUGUGUGGGGAAACAAGAGUUAGGGUUGGUUUCGGACCCCUCCACCAAGGGCCACGAAAUUCCCCCUCUCUCCUCCAUAUAUACAGCCCUUAGGGCAUCAUUUAGGCUUUGGGUUUUGUUUAGAUUAAAAGUUCGCCAUAGCUGCAACUUCGCGUACUUCGUUUGUGUUCAACGACCAGACCAAGGCGUCACAGAACCCCACCUUGAUCGAUAAAGAUUUCAUCUUAUAUUCGCAAUAUCCAGAUUGCAAUCUUAGUUUCUUGCUUGUUCUUCGUUUUCUUGCAGGAAACAGACCCUCGUGGUCAGGUUGAUCGUGCUCCGGCGUGGUCAAUAACCCUCGGAAGUUGGUUGAGCGAUUGCUAAGGCGCGACGUCUCGCACGUUCGUAGUCGGAUCGUCAAGGUCGACUCCCAUAGAAAACGAUAGCCACCAUCUCAUCGAAACAUCGGGACACCUUUGCCUCUAUCAUAACGGCAGCAAGUGAUUGAGUUCAGUAGCUCCUCAUAGAAAAUUAUUGGCUCUAGAGAUAUGGUAAACCGUCCUACUGAAUGCAUAUCGUCAGAAAUUCUGAAAUAAAUUCAUAAUAAAUACGAGCACCAGGACUUGAACCCUGAUAGGCCGUGAUACCACUGUCCACCUAACCAUGCUAGUGCAAUGAUAUAAAAUGCAGUUCAUUUUCAAGAACGUUGCGGCUUACUUAUAUCCAAUGGGGAGUGCAAAAAUAUUAGGAAAACAGAAAAAGUUAAUGCGGUUCACUUUUGACAGUGUUCUGGUUCACUUACAUUCAAUGUGAAGUGCAAAAAUGUUAGGGAAACAAAAAAAAUGUGGUUCACUUUUUGACGGUUGUUGCGGUUCACUUACCUAAUGUGAAGCGCAAUCCACUUCCUCGUGUGAGAAAAUUUACAUGCGGUACACUUGUUCAUGUUUGGAAAGUUCUUUUUUAGUUUAGUGAACUCCAUUCAACUGGUUCUAUCUGAUGUAGUUUAGUAGUUUGAUUCUGGUUCCGCACGAGAAAACGAUGUCCGCUUUUUUGUAAUUCCAAAAGUGCUCUUAAAUUGUAAGGAUUGAGAGGGUGUUCUAGACGAGAAAGUUAUCUCACGUUGUUAAUUUUCCAAUGGCGUAUCAUUUGCAUCAUUCCGACGAGCGGUUUGAAAAAUUCCACGAAAAUACGCUGCUGCUACUUGAUGCGCACCACACCAUUUCCAAAAUUCAUGUAAAAUGGUAAGGAAUCUCAAAAGGUGUUCUACAUGGAAAAAAAUUCCGCCUUUUGCAUAGCUUUCUAGCGGUGUAUCACACGCCUCAUUUCGACAAAUGGUCAAAAAUUAUAACAAAAACAAUAUCGAAAAAACCAUGUGCAGUUCUCUCAGUCGUCAUUGCAGUGCGAUUUCCUGUCUGAUGCAGUUCACUUCGUCGAUUUUGGGGUCCGUGAAAAACAAAGUUUCCAUGUUUUGGUAAAUCCAAAUUUGCUCUUAAACCUUAAGAGAUUAAAGAGACUAUUCUACUUGAAAAAGUUGUGCCUCAUCGAUAUCUUCCCAACGGCAUAUCAUUUGUAUCAUUCCAAUAAGCUGUUUGAAAUUUUUCAUGAAAAUACGCCUGCUGUCACUCGCCGAGUGUUGCAGUGUUUUCGAAACUACUCUUAAACUACAAGGAAUCUCGAAAAGUGUUCGACAUGAAUUUUUUCCGCCUAAUCCAUAGCUUUUCAGAGGUAUGCCACAAGCGCCAUUCUAACAAACACACAAAAUUCUUAGGAAAUAUAAUAAAUGAUGAAAGAGAAUUACUACCAACUAACUUCUUGCUUUGUUAAUCACUUCCCCACGACCAAGUCGGUCGUAAAAUAUUUAGUGGCCAAUUACUACAUGGAACAUACAUAUAAUGAAAACUAAGGUAAAAUUAUUGCUGCAACGUCCUACUAGGUAGAUAGUAAAAUCCUUACAUGCAAUGGUAAACAUAUUACUAUUCGCAAAAGAGGUGGUAAACAUAUUACUACAUAAGUUGCUAAUGCAUGCGUUUAACAAAACCUUUACUAGAAUUCUCUAGAACAAUCACUAGAAUUACUAUACCAAUUACUAGAAUGAAGUACUUCACGCUUAGUCUUAAAGUCACUACUAGUAUGUACUUAGACUAAUAUUAUUAAUAGACUAAACUUUUUUACCUGUGUCUUAACACACUUCAUGGUGGGACAUAUCCAAUAACGAAAAGCUCGAUAUCUCUAAGUAAGGUAAUAGUAAUGCAAAAUAUAGUACUUCCUCCGUCUAGGUGUAUAAGUCAUCUUACGUUGUCCAUCGCGACCAAGGUAGAGGGAAAAACGAGAGAACUUAAUGUUUAUUUGCUAAUUAAUAGCAUUGCAGGCAAUGAACUAACCACUGCAUGUCGUGUUUGAUAGUCUCAAGUCAUUGAAAGCAUGUACGCCCCACAUCUCUUAUUGGUUGUUAUGUCAAGAAACUAGAAAUGAGGUAGGAGUUAAUGCAUCGCGCCUAAGUGUUUUGGGAUUAUUUGGUUUUCGUAAGGUGACUUAUACACCUAGACAAAGGAAGUAAUGAAAUUAACAUUAUUACUGGUUGAAGUAUUCCACUAGGCUUCUUCUAACACUAAUUAUGGUAAAAGUCCUGCAAAAUAUGGUAAUGAAAUUAAGGAGGAAACUAAGAUUAUUUUAAUAGAAAAUAUACUAAAUGGUAAUUAUAAUUUGGCUUCAUAGAGUCGAUGGUUAUUAGGUGCACUUUAGAUAGGUGAUAAUUUUGUUACUAGCAACUACUUGUGAAGAGUCAAUGCAAAUCAUGUGGCACAUAGGUAAGAUUCAAAAAUUGGAUGGUAUUUUUUCUAGUAGAAAGCAUACUAGGUAGUAACUUUGUUACUACUCCGUACAGUUCAAGUCGGUUGCUAUUAGCUGCUGCUAGAAAGGUAGUAAUGGCAUUACUACAUUUUUCCUUUCUUACAAUCAAUUUAGUGCUAUGAGGUAGGUAAAGUAAUGACAUUACUACAUUUCUCCUCUUGUUACCGUUAUGAGGUAGGUAGUAAUGGCAUUACUAUAUUUGUUCUUUUGUUAGUACAAUUGAUUUACCGUGUUGAUGGUUGGGUUGAAUUAUAGGCAGAGUUGGUUAGCGGCGCGCUUCAAAGUGGCUGGAGCGUACGAUUACUUACAAUGCGCUCAGGCUUAGUUUAACAUGUCUAUAUAUAAUAUGUUUAUAUACUAUAUAUAAGAUACUUCAAAUCGAGUUAUAUGAAAAAAUUGCAAGUUCACCAUAUUUUUUAUUAUAUUUAUGAAAUACAUAUAUAUUUAUACGUAAAAAGGAGCAUACUCAAAAUACAGUAUAUAUAGUAUAGUACCAAAAAAGUAGUAUAUAUACUACCUAAACAUUUUUAUAUACUAUGUAAUACACGUACAUACUCUUCGAUUUGAUAGAUACUACAUACAACAUAUAAAACGUAAGUGGUGGUAACUACCACUGGGUGGUAAAAAACAUUUUUUUUCAUAUAUAUAUAUAUAUAUAUAGGAUAGGUCUAUUCUAACAACACCCCUUAAGACCUUAUUGUGCACACACAAUUCUUAUUCUUCACACACCCUAAACCACAGCCCCGACCCACGAAACAAAAAGAGCAGGUCAACCCCGGCCCACGACCUCGACCUCCUUCCUCCACCCACGAACUCUCCCCUCCACCCACUCCCUCCACCUCCUUCCUUCAGCCGGGGCCGCGCCCACCCCCAUCCCGCCCCACCUCCCCCUCGCGGCGCCGCCCCNNNNNNNNNNNNNNNNNNNNNNNNNNNNNNNNNNNNNNNNNNNNNNNNNNNNNNNNNNNNNNNNNNNNNNNNNNNNNNNNNNNNNNNNNNNNNNNNNNNNNNNNNNNNNNNNNNNNNNNNNNNNNNNNNNNNNNNNNNNNNNNNNNNNNNNNNNNNNNNNNNNNNNNNNNNNNNNNNNNNNNNNNNNNNNNNNNNNNNNNNNNNNNNNNNNNNNNNNNNNNNNNNNNNNNNNNNNNNNNNNNNNNNNNNNNNNNNNNNNNNNNNNNNNNNNNNNNNNNNNNNNNNNNNNNNNNNNNNNNNNNNNNNNNNNNNNNNNNNNNNNNNNNNNNNNNNNNNNNNNNNNNNNNNNNNNNNNNNNNNNNNNNNNNNNNNNNNNNNNNNNNNNNNNNNNNNNNNNNNNNNNNNNNNNNACUACCCUCCCCCGCGCCGUCGCACCACCUCCCACCACCGCGCCGCACCACUAUCCUCCCUCGCACUGUCGCACCACCUCCCACCACCGCGCCGCACCACCACCUCCCCCCACGCCGCCGCCCACCUCCCACCACCGCGCCGCACCGGGAGCUCCCUCCCUCGCGCUGCCCGCCCCGGCCACCACGACGGAUCCGAGCAGCCCCCGCCAUCCCGCGCCCAACCGGUGAUGGAUCCGAGCUCCUCCUCCACAUGCCUCCUCCCAACCCCAUGCUGUUCAUCUCGAUGUAUCCCCCAGAUCCGGUGAGACCUCGCCCAUUCAGGUGGUGCGGCUCCUGGUGGGGAUGGGCCAGAUCGAGCCCGGCCAUCAACGGUGACCCCUUUCGGCCUAGAUACAUGGCUAGCGGCAGUGGCUGGGCCAGCCUCUCCUCCUUCCUCCCCUGGUCAAGAUCCAUGGUGAGACAGCUGCUUGCUUUCUUAUAUUUUGCUGGAUCCGUUCUCACGCAUGGGAUGGCCACAUUCGACAAAAUGCAUCUUCACUUUCAGGUUCAUCCAUGGGGUUGUUCUGGCAUCGGCCAGGACGCCAGGUUGCGGUGCGGCACCGAUGCCAUGUUGUUCGGGGCGAUACAUGGUGUGGUUCAUAUCGCGCAUGCAGUUUGGAGCAUGGGAACAUGCAAUGCAAAAAUGUUGCGUUUUGUGUAUAAAAAAUACGAACUCAUUUGAAUGCAAUUCACGCCUAGACAUGUGUUCAGCAAAUGCAGUUUGGAGUAUCUGCGCAUGCAGUGCAGACCGUGCUUUUUGUGUUUGAGGAUUUUAUGUAUAAAAAUUACAGGAACUCGUUUGAUUGCAGUAUGCGAUGAAACAUGGUGAUGUUUAGAGUUCAGCAUGCAGUUUGGGCCAUGUGGACAUGCAGUGCAGAAUGGUGUUUUUCCGUGUUUGAUGAUUUUAUUUAUGUAUAAAAGUUAUAUGGACUCAUUUGAAAAUUGUUUACAAAGGAAGUUCAUUUUGAACUGUGUUGCGGCUCAUUUCCCUUACCAUGCGGUUCGCCUCGCCAAUGUGGAAACCCAAAACUCCAAACAGAAAAAAGAAAGAAGGAAAUGAAGUGCAAAGAUGUGUUAAAUGAAAAAUGGUAGAGAAACGACAAAAAAAUUAAUGAUGUUCACUUGACCAUUUGAUGCAGUGCGGUUUUCUAACUGAAGCAGUGCGGUCGGGUGUCUGAUGUUGUUCAUCUUAUAAGUGACCAUUUGAUGUCCGAAGUGAAAAUAAAAAUACACAAAAUAGCAACUUAAAAAGAAAUCAUGAAGUUCGCUUGACUUUCUGAUGCAGUGUGGUUUUUCAUUCUGAAGCAGUGCGGUCAGCCGUAUGACAUUGUUCAUCCCGUAAGUGCAAAAAAAAUUGUUACGGAAGCGAAAAAAGUAAUGCGGUUCACUUCUUGAUAGUGUUGUGGUUCAUUUACACCCGAUGUGAAGUGCACUCUACUUUCUCGUCCUUGAAAAAAUUACGUUUGAAUAUAAGAAACCAUGCAGUUCUCUUACCCGUUUGAUGUAGUGCGGUUUUUCGUCUGAUGCAGUGCGGUUUUCAGUCGGAUGAAGUACCCACAUCGAUUAGGGUGUCGCGAAAAACAGAGUGUCCGCAUUUCAGUAAAUUCGAAAUUCCUCUUAAAUCGUAAAGAAUUAGAGAGAGUGUUCUACAUGAAAAAGUUGCGCCUCGUCGAUAUCUUUCCAACGGCGUAUAAUUUGAAUCAUUCCAACCAGCGGUUUGUAAAAAUUUCGCGAAAAACGAAUGCUGCCACUCGUCGUCUGCCGCACCAUUUUUAAAAUUAACUUAAAACUGUAAGGAAUCUCAAAACCAUUCCUACAUAUGAAAGAUGCGCCUUGUCCACAACUUUCCAAAGACGUAUUACACACCUCGUUUCAACAAACGGUUCAAAAACUAGAGCGAAAACAGUAUCGAAAAUUGCAAAAAUUUCAAAAAACAUAAUUUCGUGAUUUAGUAAAUUUGAAACUGCUCUUAAACUGUAAUGAAUUAGAGCAAAUAAUAGAUAUGAGAAAGACGCCUCAACAAUAUCUUUCCAACGACGUAUCAUUUGCUUUAUUUCGAUGAGCGGUUUAGAAAAAAUCAAGAAAAUACGCUCGCUGCCACUCGUCAUCCGCCGCACCCUUUUUAAAACUGCUCUUAAACCGCAAGGAAUUUUGAAAAGUGUUCAACAUGGAGAAAUUGCGCAUAAUCCAUAGCUUUCCAACGGUAUAUUAUAUGCCACGUUCCGAUAAACAGUUAAAAAAUUAAAGCGAAAACAGUACCAAAAAAACACCGCGUGCAGUUUUUUCCGACACGAAGUUCACUAGUCUGUAUUGCGAUGCUCUUGCUAUAGAAAAUGCAGUGCUCUCGCGUUGAGCGUGCAGUGCGGAAGUGUUGUCAAAAUAACUAUUCUGCUAAUAUUAGCAGAAUAGACCGGUUGUAUAUAUAUAUAUAUAUAUAGGAAUAUAUAUAGUAACACUAUUCUGAUCCCAGGAUCAGAAUAGUUAUUUGGAUCACGGCGCGCCCUAUAUAGGGUCCGAAGAUGUCCCCGAACUAAAAACAAGCGUCGAACCAUUGAAAAAAAAAGAAAAAAGAAACCCACGCACCUCAGCACCUCACGUCCCACCUGCCUCGACCCGCACCUUUCCACCAGUUGCCGCCGACGCCCCACCCCGCGCGCCGCCACCCCCUCCACCUCUGGCGCGCCGCCGCCGCCGCCUCCUCUUGCGCGAGGCCACCCCCUCCACCUCCGGCGCGCCCUCGCUCCCACCUUCUCUGGCGCGAGGCCAAUCCCUCCUCCUCUGGCGCGCCGCUCCCCCCGCCUCCCCCGGUGCAAGGCCACCCCUCCUCCACCAUCGCGGUGUCGCCCCCAUCUCCUCCGCCGCGAGGCCACCUGCCCACAGCGAACCUGAUCUUCUUUGCCCUAGGAUGCUCCCAACACCGACGUCUACAUGUCGCUGCCAGACCCACGCCGUCGCCCUCGGCCACCUACUAAUUAAUCGUCGACGGCCAUGGAUCUGAGCGCUAGCCGCUGGAUUUGGCGAUUUCUCAUGACGGUGUUGCUCCGGCGAGCCUCCGUCCCCAAGCGCGACGCAAACAACAACCUACUCCCUCUUGUUCCUCCUUCAUCCCCGUCCACUGAGCAUGGCGCAUCUAUGGUGGCCUCCUCCCUCCUCCAUGGAGGUAGGCGUUUGUGAAGUUCGGCCUGGCCAGCCGCGUCAGUUCGACCCCGCCGUGCCCUGCGCCCCUGCCCUGCCUCCAGCCACCAGAGUCCCCUUCCACCACGUCGCCUCCUCCUAGUUGCGCCGCAUCUCCGCAGCACUCAGCGCGUUUCGCCGCUGCCAACUCCUGCCAUUCAACUUUGCAACCCCAAGAAGUUCGGCUCAGCCACCUGAUUCCCACUGCUGCAGUGCCUGGACGAGGCCCAGGUCCAUCUUCCGUGCUCAUACUUCUGCAGGUAUUUGAGUUUCAACAGGUAUUUGAGUUCAGGAAAAAGAUUUAGGUGAAGGACAAUGUGAGAGAUUUUCAACACUGCUUAUUAUUCCUAUUCAGAUUGGCGAAUCCUCACAUUGUCGGACACUGCCCAUGCUGCUCUUGUACUCAUAGGCGGAGCUCCCGGUAGGGCGAGGGUGGGCGCCCGCCCUACCUUGAUUUUCUGUUAAAACUUCUUAGGUACACGUAUAUGCAUCGUAGUUAUGUACAAAUUGAUCACUACUUUUUGUUUUUGGGGCGAGGAGUGCUGUAUUGUUGGGUCGUGACUCGUGAGCAUCACAAGAAGAUCGAUCCAACACACAAAGCCAGCCAGCGGAGGAUCUCGGGCACGGUCGAGUCAAUAGCUUUGUUCAUUCGUCCACACAGACAACACCAAGUCACGACUCAUGAUUGCCGCUAGCGGCGGCUAGCACCCAGCAGGAGCGGGGCGCGGGGUCACGGACAUCAGUGGUCAAUGCCCACAGCCACAGGUCAAACCAGCGGCGCGUCCACCGACUGCUCGACCCCGCACAUAUGGAGUGAGAUGAGCGCAGGCAGGCCAGAGCAGCAGCUAGUCGAUGUGGCCGAUGUUGCAGGCUAGUGAGCCACAGGUCCAGCCGACGGUGUGUGGAAAAUACAGUGAUUUUGGUGGCAUUUUCAUGUUAAUGUGGAUGGACUGUGGUUUUUCAUCAAAGUGCUCCCUACCUUAAUUUGUUUUCGUCACCUGCCACUGCUUGUACUGAUGAAAUUUUGCACGGGUUAAUUGUGGAUGGAUCAUGUGUCUAUCGAUCGAUACUUUGUUUUGUGUAUAUGUGAAUGCAUCUUCUUUGUAUUAAAAACAGUUGUGUUGUUUAUCAUGUGGUAUGUACCAAACAAAAUCCUUUGCCCCUUGUUUGAUCUGUACAAUAGUUCAAUCUUGAAAAAAUUACACAUUCUAUGGCAAAAAGGUGUGGAGUGGGAAAUGUUAAAUCAUCCAUUAGAAAAUGUUCACGGAUUCUCUCUUGAAAAAGAAAUGUUAAAUCUCUGGAAUUCACAUAAAAAAUAGAAGAAGUUCAAUUACCAAACUUCAUUCAAUAUAUAAUUAUACAAUAUGAAAAAAGGAAAGGUAAAAAAUACGGAAGUUCAAUUACCAAACUUCAUGAAAAAAAUAUGAAAUUUCAAUUAACAAAUUGUUUGUGUUCUGGAAGUUGAAAGGAAACUAAUUGAAAAAGUUAACAUGAUAAAACCAAAAGAAGUCAGGACCUUAAACCAAUAAAAUGCCAUGACAAAAUAAUUCCUUCCAUGUGGGUUUCCUAAUAAAAUGCCAUGACAAAAUCAUUCCUUCCAUGAACGAUAAAAUGUUCCAGUAUCACAAUCGGCUUAUAAACCAUAUUUUUCUCUAAGAAUAAAACUAAGAAGUUCAAAUUAAAAUAUUGGAGAAGUUCGACAUUUAUAAAAAACUCAGAUUUUUAUAAACCGAUAAAAACCAACAAGUUUGAAUUAAAUUAACAUACGAAUUCAAAAAGUCAAUAAAAAUAAUGAAUUUUUCGCAUUUCCAAAAAAUCUAGAAGUUCAAAUUAAUAUAACGGAGCGGUUCAAUGUUUACUAAAAACUUAGAUUUUUAACCGCUACUACAGAAUAAUAAAUAAUGAAGUUCAAAUAGAUUUCUCAUUUGAAAAAAAAGAACUUCAAAUUUAAAUAAUGAAGAGGUUCGACGUUUAUUCCAAAUUUAGGAUUUUCCUCAUUACUAAAGACGAGACGAACUAGUUCAAUUUAGAGAAAUAGAGCAUCUCAAGAUUUGUAGAGAAAAAAGAUUUUCCCUGUUUCUACAUAAAAACCUAGAUGUUCAAAUUUAAAUAACGGAGAAUUACAAAUAUUUACAAUACCAAGAGGGUCAAAUUAAAAAAAAUGAGCCAUUCAAAAAGUUUAUAAAAUCUGAUUUUGCCUCUUUUCAAAAAGACCUAUAGGUUGAAAUUGAAAUAAUUGAGCGGUUCGAUAUUUAUUACAUAAGUAGGACUUUUCUUGUUACUAAUGAAUAACACCAGGAAGUCCUAAUUAAAAAUAUGAUGCUAUUUGAUAUUUAUAAUAAAACUAAGAUUUCCCCAAUACUAAAAGAUAAAAACCAAGAAGUUCAAUUUUGAAAAACUGAGAAGUUCAAUAUAUAUAAAAAAAUCCAGGUUUUCUCUUUACUAAUGAAUACAAGCAAGAAGUUCAAUUGGAAAAAGCGGAGCAGUUUGAUAUUUAUUUAACAAACCCGGAUUUUUCAGUUACUAAAGAAUAAAAACCAAUAAGUUCAAUCCGAAAUAACAAAGAAGUCUGAUGUUUCUAAAAAAACUCCAGUUUUCACAAUUAUAAAAAUACACAAUGAAGGUCAAAUAAAAAAGGUAGAGUGGUUCAAUGUCUAUAAAUAAACUCAAAUAUUUUCAUGUAACCGAGAGAAGUUCGGAUUGAUAACUGCGAGAAGUUCAUGUACUACACGGUGUGCAUUUUGUAUUAAAAAAGAAUGAAAAGGCAAAUGCUAAAAAGAAUAUUGCUAGAAGUUCAAGUGCUCGUCCCGAGAAAGUUCAAUUAUUAUUUGGGAGCAAUUUGAUUUCAAAAAUAAAAUAAAUUCAUAUUAUAAAUAUGGAAAAGGUUCAUGUACUACGUGGUAUGUGUUUAAUAUGAGAAAAAUGAAUUAAAAGGCAAGGUCCAAUUUUUUUGUUAUAAGUUCAAGGCCUCGGUCGAAGAAAGUUAAAAAAAAUAUCCAGAGGGAGGUUUGUAUAAAAGGAAUAUCAAUUAUGUAGCACUGACGAAUGGAUGAGAAAAUUUCAAAUGACAAUACGUCACAGAAAUUCAACAUGAAAACAACAUGAAGUUCAACUACUACUCUGAAUGAAAUUCAGAUGAAAAACUUUUAAAAUCUUCAGUAAAAUCUGAGUUUUAGUGUCAUUGGUUCGGCGCAACUGGUUCAAUGCUUGUUACAAACCCAAAUAAGGUCAUUAAGAAAAGCAUCUCAAACAAAUUUUAUAACAAAUAUUUUCUCUCUUAAAAUAAACCUAGAAGUUAAAAAUUAAAAACGGAGCGGCUCGAUGUCUAUCAAAAAGUAGAUUUUUUUCGUUACUAAAAGAAAUAAAACCAGGAAGUCCAAAUUAAAAAGAUGGAGAAGUUCGAUGAUUAUAGAAAACUCAGAUUUUACUCGUUAUUAAAGAAUGGAAAUAAGAAGAUCAAAAAUUAAAUAACAAGAAGUUCAACUUCUAAAAAUAGAGCGCUUCAAAAUUUCAUAAAAAAGAUUAAGGAAAACCAGGAAGUCCAGAUUAAAAAGAUGAAGAAGUUCGAUGAUUAUAGAAAACUCAGAUUUCCCUCGUUAUUAAAGAAUGGAAACAAGAAGUUCAAAAAUAAAAUAUCAAGAAGUUCAACUUUUAAAAAAUAGAGUGCUUCAAAAUUCAUAAAAAAGGAUUAUGAAAUUCAGAUUAAUAUUAAUAAAAACUCAGAUAUUUUCACAUAACCGACAGAAGUUCAGAUUGAUAACUGCCAGAAGUUCACGUACUACACGGUGUGCAUUUUGUAUGAAAAAGAAUAAAAACAAAGGCUAAAAGUUUUGUUGUUAUAAGUUCAAGUCCUUUGUCGGAGAAAGUUAAAAAUUUUAUUGUGAGAGAGCUUUGUACAAAAGGAAUAUUAUUUGUGUAACACAGACGAAUGAAUGAGAAAAUUACAAACGAAAAUACGUCAUAGAAGUUCAACAUGAAAACAGCAGGAAGUUAAACUACUACAGUGAAAGAAUUUUAGAUGAAAAACUUUUAAAACCGUCGCGAGUAUGAAAAAAUGAUCAACAUGGGAAAGUUGCGUGUUUACAUCUGCUUUUUAUCGGUAUAUCACUUGCUCAAUUCCGGUGAGUGGAUGGAGAGCUAGGAUAAAAAAAGCACGUGAAAAAACAGAGUGAAGUUCAAGUAGACAUGCCGAGAAGUUCAAGUCUUCAUGCGGUGCAUUUUUGAAUAAUCUGUUUCGCGAUAAAGGCAGGACGAAUGAUCUCGCUGUUUUCGAAAUUACUUGAAACCAGCUAGGAAUCAGAGAAAACCAUCAACAUGAAAAAGUUUCGCAUUUUCCGUAGCUUUUCAGCAGUAUAUUAUUUGCCCCAUUCCGAUAAAGUAUGUAGACAUUAUAGAGAAAAUACUUUUUUAGACAUUUUCAAAAUUGACUUAAAAUAGUAAGGAAUUUGGAGAAACAAUAUAUAGCAAAAUUUUUCGCAUUUCCUCAAGAUUUCCAACCCCAUAUCAUUUGCUGCAUUCAGACUUACGGUUAAAAACUUAGCUCCAAAAUACGAACUCAAUAAAACUUGUACCAUUUUCUAAAUUACUUUUAAACCGUUCAAAAUUAGAAAAGAAUUUUAACAUGAAAAAUUAGCGCAUUUUCAUGAGCUUUCCAACGCCAUAUCAAUGCCUCAAUUGGAUUAGCCGUUUAAAAAUGACAUCGAAAAUACGAACUCGGCUGUUCGGUGUGCGAAAUUUUAUGAUUUUCGAAAUUACUCUUUAUUCGUAGUGAAUUAGAGAAAACUUUAAACAUGUGGAAGGCGCGGUUUUUCAGCAGCUUUCCGAUGCCAUAUUAUUUGCCUCAUUCUGAUAAACGGCUUAGAAAUGCGAUCAAAAAUACGAUUCACGUUUUUUGUAUGUAGUAAAAACGGUUUUCGAAACUGUUCUUAAACCGCUUACAUUUUGCCAAAAGUUUGACUUGGGUCAUGAUACUGGUGUCCAUAGCUUUCCAACAGUGUAUCGCAAGCAACAUUUGGACAAUGUUGGCGGAAGUUCAAGCUAGCAUAGGGGGAAGUUCAGGUCAAACAACUCAGGCAGUAAAAUUGAAAAAAACACAAUUUCAUCAUGACCCGAGAGCAAAAUCCGCCAACGAGCGAGAUUCCUAUUUAAAACCAGUAUUUAGUUGCUAAAAAUGUUUCUGGAUUACACUAACAUCAUAUAGACCAUGACUAACCAGAAAAAUUCACGGGGGAAGCCACGGUUGCGAAGAUAGCCCGAAGGUCGGGUACGUACAGAGGGAAGUUCAGGCACGUUACUCAGGCAGUUCAGGUUGUGAUCAGAAUAUUAUUCUGAUCCCGUGAUCAGAAUAGUGUUUAUGUAUAUAUGGUGGGUCUAUUCUAACAACACCCUUAAGAGUCUUAUUCUACACAUCAGUUUCUUAUUCUGCACACACCCGAAUAAACACAGAAACGAAACCCACCACUCCUCCCAUGACCCCCCGACCAGAGCCGGCGCCCCAUCCCACCACCACCUUCCCCCAGCCUCGCACACCACCACCACUUCGCCACACCUCCCUCACACCAACCCAUCGUCGUCCCCACCCAUACACCGGAUCCCGCCUCGAUGGUCGCCAGAUUCGCGCCGGAUUCACGCCAAACGGCACAACCUACCUUCCUCCCGCUACCCCCGGCAACUGGCACGAAUCUCCUCCCCCCGCACCUACCUGGCGGUGGAUCCGGGCAGAGCCGGCCCUGCCGCACCACCAGGCGACAUGAUCGAGCACUGCUGACCCCUCCCCCUCCCGCGUGUUGUGUUCGCCACCGGAUCCACCCUCCCCACCACAUCCCUUCGCUGCCGGCACCGGCCGCCACCAGAUCCACCCCCUUCCUCGUGCUAGAUGCACCCAUCGCCCCGCCACCUUCCACCAUGGCAUCGCCGGGUCCCGGGUCAUCCUCUCCCUCUCCGGCUGGGUGGCCCCGACGAGCAACUCGCUCCUGGAGCUACGGUCACCGGCGUUGGUGUGGCUCACCUGUGCUGGACGAGAAGCAAACUCCGCUCCCCAUCAUCACCCGCAUCAGGGGCUCUGCCAUCGCCGGAUCCUGGCAUCCCCCGACCUUGUAGGAUGCGACAACGACAUCAACAUACCCUCCCCCGGCCGUCCUUGUCUGUCGCUGCAGUUCGCGCGGUGGGCGUCCGCAACAAGUCGUCGGCGGGGUGGAUCCAAGGGCGCCCGUGCAGUCCACUACGUGGGUGCACGCAGCACGCCGGCCCUCCCCUCCACAGUCCACUAUGUGGGUUCGGCCAACAUUGGCGUGCAGCUUUGGCCACGGUCCUAUGUAGUACGCGUUGACGACAAAGAUUCACUUUUUUUCAGGGUUCGGCCGACGAAAUCCUCAUAUCCGGCGACACCUCCCUAUGCUUUCCCCGUCGCCGAGUUUACCAUCCCCCUCGGGCAGUGCACUUUGGAGUUUUUUGUGUCUUCAGAAUUGUAGUGAAGUGCAGUUUGACUGAAUUCUCUCGAGUGCAAAAAGUUGCUAAAUUUGGAUUUGGUAUAGUGGACAACAGUAUGUGUGUGUGUGCAGUGCAGUUCGGCUCCAGUUUUGGUUAUUCAGUGAGUGUGUGCAGUAUAUGAUGUGCACACACAUGCACUACAGUGCCCUUCCGAUGCAGUCUAGCGAUAUUUUUGUUCAAGCGACAUGGUGGGAUUGGGUGCUCCUCUGGUGCCGCGCCGGCCAGUUGGGCAGGCCACGAGAAAAUAUUCUGGUGUGUUGUGCAGUUCGAUAGUCUCCCAUCUGCAGUACCCAUGUCUUUAACAAAAUUUGUUUGAAGAAUACAAAAAAGUAGCUCACUCCAAUUUGUGUAGCAGCUCAUUACCCCUUUGUAUGAAGUGCGAUUUCUUUGUGUUUGAAAAAUCAGCCGACUAUAUCAACACCCGCGGUGCAUUUGGUCCUCAGAUGCGGUUCACUUUUAAGAGUGAUGUUGUUCACUUGUGCCUAAAAAAAUGAAAGUGCUAAAAAUUUAGCGCAACAAUAAAGAUAGUAAUGAGGUUCACUUAGAUAUAUGUCGCGGUUCACUUGCCCCCGUCUCUGCGGUCCGCUCUCGUUCAUAAAAGAAAGUUGAAAAAAGACAAAAAAACUCGUAUGGGAAAAUUUACGUCCCAUAAAAAAAAAUCAUGCAGUGCACUUGUCAGUCUGAUGAAGUGCGGUUUUUAGUCUAAAGAAGUGCACUCCACCUCGUUUGGUAAAUUUACAUCCCACAAAAAAGAAAUCAUGCAGUGCACUUGUCUGUCCAAUGAAGUGCGCGUUUUAGUCUAAAUAAGUGCGGUUUUCGGUCUGAUGCAUUGCGGCCCGUUUACGGUAGUCUCAAGGUUCACUUUUCAUAGUCUUGCAGUUCACCAACACUUGACAUGAAGUGCACUCCACCUCGUUUAGGAAAAUUUACGUCCCAUAAAAAAGAAAUCAUGCAGUGCACUUGUUUGUCCGAUGAAGUGCAGUUUUUACUCUAAAGAAGUGCGGUUUUCUGUCUGAUGUAGUACAUACGACGAUUUUGAUGUCGCGAAAAACAAAGUGUCCACAUUUUGUUAAAAUAAAAAAUGCUCCUAAACCGUAAGGAAACGGAGAGAGUGUUCUAUAUGGAAAAGAUGCGCCUCAUCGAUAUCUUUCCAACGGCGUAUAAUUUGAAUCAUUUUGACCAGCGGUUUGUAAAAAAUUCGUGAAAAACGGCCGCUGCCUCUCGACAUCAGCCGCACGAUUUUGAAAAUUAACUAAAAACCGUAAGGAAUCUCGAAAACAUUUCAACAUAUGAAAGUUGCACCUUGUUCGUAGCUUUCCAACGGCAUAUCAUACGUCUCGUUUCGACAAACAAUUAGCAAAAUGGAGCGAAAACAGUACCAAAAAUUUCAAAAAAAAUGAAAAAUAGAAUUCCACGAUUUAGUAAAUUUGAAACUGCUCUCAAACAGUAACGAAUUAGAGAAAAUAAUAGAUAUGAAAAAUAUGCGCCUCGACGAUAUCUUUCCAAUGGUGUAUCAUUUGCUUCAUUCCGAUGAGCGGUUUAGAAAAAUGGUGAAAAAACGCUCACUGCCACUCGUCAUGGGACACACCAUUUUCAAAACUGCUCUUAAACCGUGUGGAAUCUCAAAAAGUGUUCAACAUGGCGAAGUUGAGCCUAAUCCAUAGCUUUCCCACGGUAUAUUAUAUGCCUUGUUCCGAUAAACGGUUAAAAAACUAGAGCGAAAAUAGUACCGAAAAACACGGCGUGCAAUUUUUUUGCGACGGGAAGUUCACUCGCAUGAGUACUGCAGCACACUUAGUUCAAACAAUGAUUUGCACUUGCGUUGAGCGUGCAGUGCGGAAGUGUUGUCAGAAUAGUUAUUCUGCUAAUAUUGUUAGAAUAGACCAGCUGUAUAUAUAGGCUGCUAAUACUGUUAGAAUAGACCUUCCUACUUCCUCACCUGACGCUGUUCAGCUCCGGGUGGCGGCCAAGCUUGCACCUCCCACGGCCGCAUGCGCUCAACACGUACUGCCACGGCUUGCACUUCAUCUCUCCCUCUGCUUGCACAGUGUAGCUUCAGCUUCUUGCAGUGACUUGGACUUGGCAUGCUGAUGGAGAUGACCUGCACUCCAGUAGGAUGGGACCUGCCCAUGUCGAGGCCGUAGAGAUGUACAACUCAUAUGCUCCUUCCCCCAUUUGGUUGCAUGGAACGUGUUCGUGCAAAUGCCCAUGUGAUCAUUGUAUUUGUUACAGGGUGAUACUUCUUGGUCAACAAUGAUAUAGCACUGACGUAUAGCGUUAUAAUGUCCCAUUUUUUGUAUGAUCGGUCUAUACUAGAACGCCUAUAAUUUUUUGGAAAAUAUUCAGACUGCAACCUGAGAAGUUCGUCGGUAAAAAAAUCAUGGAAAAAUGGAGAAACAAAAACAAGUAAAAACACAUGGAGAAAAGUUUCAUGAGUACAUGGGAAAAAGGGUUCAAAUGAACGUGUGAAGUUCAAGUUUCAGAAGUUGGUAAGUUUGAAAACAAUAAGCCAGAUAAAAUAAGUGCAGAGGAAAAG